UAAUUUUGAUCUAGUUUCAUCUACGAAUAGUAAUGAUUUUACUCUCUGUCAUAUACUUCUAGGUAUUGACUCCAUUAUGUAAAUAUUUUUUUUUCCUUGCAGGCAUUUCAUCUGACUUUGAACAUGAUAUCACCAGAAACACACUCAGCUGUCAAAAAGGUAAUUGAAUCUUGUAAAGAACCUUGAAGAGUGAAGAGAUCCUGUACAGUUUUUUGAUCUCUGUCUCUGUUUUUCUCUCUCUCUCUCUCCCCAUCUCCUGCGCAUAUGAUGGAUAUGUCUCGAGUUUGAUGCUGCGAAAAGGAUUGGCUUUGCAGGCUCUCGCUGCUCAUAGAUGUUUCGCCUCUAUUACUUGCAUUGCCUCGGUGGCUAAUUACCGUGUGUUUUAUCUUGUCUUUUUCUUUUUUUUCUCCCCCUUUUCUUUUAUAUUAGCCUCUUCAGUUUUGUUCUUUUUUACAUUAUUUCUAUCUCUGGUCCAUCCAUCCCCACAGGUAGGCCAUCUAAUGUAGAAUAAUAUAAUAAUGUAGGAUAGUGCAGUGGAUUGUUUUCGUCUCUGUGCUGUAGUAUAUAGUAUAGUAUAGUAUACUAUGUUGGAGUUAAUAGUAUUUGUUGUACUAUGGGUUCUCUACCACAUUUACUGCAAUAUUGCUGAUGUCAAAAUCAAGAUAUUCGGAAGAUCAAUACAAAGCUGAGAAAUCUGUAUCCUUCUUUUUUGCUUUUCGCUUAUCAAUGUUGUAUGUGAGAACAAGCACUCUUUCUUUCUGGUAGUAAAGUAACUCUCUCAUAACGUUUAUGCUUAUUAUUAUUUUGUUCUCGCUGUGAAACAUGUUUCUUAAUGUGGGGAAAGGUAGUAAGUCGAAAGUAUGUUGUUCAUAAAUUCAUCUGGUUACCUCUCAAGAGAUGUUAGAGGUUUUGGAAUGAGGAAAAUGCAUUGCAAGAAAUUACCAAGUUCAUUUGUAUCUUAGUUUACUCGAUUUCUGAGGGUAGUCACUGUGGUAUGCAAAAUUGGAAUCAUUUGAUUAUCAAGCUUAGGGGGUAUAAGAGAAUGUGAUAUUUUGUAAAAAAUGUUGUUCUAUUUAAUCGAAGUUGCUAAUUACUUGGUUGUUUUAAUAAAAUAUGGUGUAUAUAAUUUUGGGGAAACUUCAAAUAUUUGCACUUUCGCACUUUAGUACCUUGUGGUUUCAAGUGUAUCAAGUUAGUAUCUUGUGGUUUCGCACUUUCUCAAUUUAGUACCAUGUGGUUUCAAGUGUAUCAACUUAGUAUCCUGUGGUUUCGCACUUUCUCACUUUAGUAUUUUGUGGUUUAAUAUUUCGUUAAAUUAUAUAUCCCGAAAUGGAUGAUAAAAGAGAAAUUGAAACCACAGGGUACUAACUUGAUACAAAAAUGAAACUACAGGGUACUAACUUGAUACACUUGAAACCACUGGGUACUAAAGUGAGAAAGUGCGAAACCAUAGGGUACUAACUUGAUACGCCUGAAAUUAUAGGGUACUAAAGUGAGAAAGUGCGAAACCACAUGGGGGGUAUUUGAAGUUUCCUAUAAUUUUAUAAGACUUUAAAAAUGUAAAGAAGCUUUUUUUCAACUUUGCCAAUUUUGAUGGUCAAGACUCAAGAGUGAGGACUGAAGAAUUAGAGUAAACCUACCUACUAUAUUUAGUAUUUUUUAAUAUAUAUUUUCGAUAUUCUUUAUAUUUUCAAGUUUUAUAAAUUUUAUAUGUAAGAUAUGCAGUCAAAACACGACUAUCUAGUUAGUAAUUUGAAUUAGAAAGAAGAAUCUAUUAAACUAUUUGGUAAAAUUUAAAAAUAUUUAAUUAUCAAAAUUAAAAAUUCGUUUGGUACCUUUGUCAUGUUUUAUUUUUUUUAAACACUAAUCAUAUAUAGUUUGAUGCAUUGGGGGAAAGGUAUAUAAUUUUUCUGGUUGCCUUUUUAGUAUAUUCCCCUAAGUGAUAAAUAACAACUUGUUUUAAAAAAAUUUGAAAGCAAUAAAUAAUUAUUUUCAAGUUUUUAUUUUUUAUUGAGAAAGAAAUAUUUUGGAUGUAAGAAUUACAAUCAAUCUACUGUCCACACGUAUAUUUUUGUAUACAAAAUUUUAUUUUUUCUAAAAAAGAAAACUAAUACAGUACCAAACCAAGCUUGAUGUAUGUUUGCAUGAGAGCUUAACUUAGGACCAGUAACCCAACCUAUUCUUGCAAACUUGAACCAAUAUCUAUAUAACAUGAGAAUUGCUAUCCAUACAUCCUACAGUAUAAGUAUAAAAUUUAUACUUUAGGAUCCCUAGAGUAAGUGGCAAAGGAUUUGGUGGUUGGUAUUCGAGGUCCCAAGUUCGAAUCCUAGUUGAUUCGCAUUUUCAGCUAAGUUUAUUUCUAAAUGAAAUAAACGAAGCGGAUAGCGUGCUACCUAUCUGUCUUCAAGAAAAGGUUUUUAAAUAUUGGGAGGGAGGGAUGUAAAAUUUAUGUCUCUAGGAGAAAUGUAAUGGGGGCAUUUUUUUUUUUUUUAUGAAGUUGGGAUAUGAAUAUUUUUCCUUAAUUUUUUAAAAAUAAAAUUUUAAAAAUAUAUUAUUUGCCAAGUAAUCCUAUUAAAAUUUUAUUUAGCUAUAUAGUCAUAUUUUGUCCAAUUCAAACCUAGAAUAGAAAAAUAGUUAUGAAACGAUGAAUUAUUCAUCAUGAAAUUUUUUUAAAAAUAAAUUAUUUUUACUUUAAAAAAAAGAAAUGGUAAAAUAAUUCACUGUUCCUUUUUAUUUUCUAUAUAAAAUUUUAACAAUCUCAAAAUAGAGAAUGAUUAACUGCCUUGUAAAAGAUAGUUUUAUAUUUUUGUCUAUUGCGACUCUGAGUUGUUAAGAAGAGUGUGAUUCGAUCAAAUAAUUAUUUUUAAGAGACUUAUUUAGCGAAUUAGAAAAUUUUACAAAGUUUUUUAAAGAAAAUAAAAAAAAAGUACAUAUUUUGCCUAACUUGAGAGGGUAAAUCCUACAUUCCUACGUCCGUACGGAGCAUUUUUGUAAUCUCCCCGAAGAGCCGAUGCGCGGAGACCCGAGAGAAAGAGACCUUCGUCUCCAGCCCUCGUCCUCCUCAGCUCUCCUCUCGCUCGCGAGCUCUUGAGGCCCCCUCUCUUUUAGGAGCUCUCUCGAUCUCCAGGGCAUCGUCCCUCCUCCUCCUCCUCCUUCUGCUUACGAGGCGUACGUCCUUUUCCCGGUCGCGAUUUCGGAUCUCGUGGGUUCGUCUCCGUAGAUCUCGGAGGUUCUCGUUCUCGUUUGUCAUCUAGGGUUUUGGAUUCUUGGUUUCAGGAAGAAUGGGCUGGGUCAGAAAGCGGAGCCGUGGAUGGAGGUUAUCUCGUGGGAGCCCAGGGCCUUCGUCUACCACAAUUUCCUGGUAUGCGUGAUGAAUCUUUUUGAUCUUUUCUUUCCCUGCGGAAGUUGCCAUAGCUCUUCUUUGCUUAGUGCCUUCAAUGGUUCGUGGUUUGGUCAAAAAUCGAAUUUUUAGGUGUCUUCUGUAGGUUUUCCAUGUGUAUGUCUCAACUUUAGUGCUAGAUUAAUUUGCUCGGCUCAUCGGAUCUAAAAGAAUUUUUAGAAUUUGUCGCACUAGAUAAUGACCGAGCACAUUUAUAGACGAGCAUUUUCCUGAAUCUCAGUUGUUAAAAUUGAGAAAAAUUGUUAUUUUGGUACUGUAAUUCUGCAAACUGCUUCAUCCACUUGAAUGUUGGCAUAAAAUGUAGGAAUGAAGUGGGGGAAAGAAUUUCAGUAUUUGAAAUUCGCAAAACUCGGAUGCAUACUCGUAGUAAAUAAUCGUAAUGAAGUCAUUGUAACAUUAGCUUUUAACUUGAUAAGAGCUGAAACAAUUCUUUGUCAUACUCAUUAUAAGCGUAGUAAUAUAGUAACAAUGUGAGCUUGAAAGUCAAGUUUUUUCCUCUUUUUUUUGUGUUUUUCCUCUCAAGUCUAAGGAAGAAUGUGAGUACUUGAUUGAACUGGCAAAGCCUCGUAUGGAGAAGUCAACAGUUGUUGAUAGCGCAACAGGGCAGAGUAAGGAUAGCAGGUAUGUAUUUCACUGAUUUCUUGUUGUAAUUCCAUUAGACUAGUAGAUAUGAUUCGUCAUAUUACUAAAUUCAGGGUUCGCACGAGCUCAGGCAUGUUCUUUAGGAGAGGUCAAGAUAAGAUUAUCCGCAACAUUGAGAAAAGGAUAGCCGAUUUUACCUUCAUUCCUGUAGGUAUGUGAUUCUGAUAUUGUAUAUGCUAGUUGUGAUCCAUUUUAUUCUCCAGAAAUGUGCAAACUUGCUAGAUGUAUUUUGAUGAGCCUGCAAAUUAAGUGCUGUUGGACAAUGCUCAGCGGUAGAGUUGAGUUCUGCUGCAAAGCAGAUUGUCAUGACUCAUACAUGGUGUAAAUUGAUUGUCGACUGAAGACUAAGCAGGAGUCUCUAAAAUGCAUCAUGUUCUUCUCUUGACUUUUCUUUUGACUUAAUUUAGGUGUUAUAAUUAUGUUUUAUGUUUUGUCACUUACGCUCAAUAUUGUCAACAUUACAUUUUAAUGUACAUAUAGUGUAGAUGUAGCAUAUAUUGGCUGCACAUGGAUUCUCGAUAGUUUGACAUUUACUUUUUGCGGUUACCUGUUUUGCGACCCCUAGUCUGGCUAAUGCAAUGCUUGGUGUUAAAAAUGGUCAUGAAUUAACGUGCGGAAAAAUAAUAAGAGCCUAAAUAAGGGUAAAAAAAACUGAAAGAUUUGUUGAGGUCCAUGAAAUUCAGUUGUAUAUGACAUUUGGGUAAGCAGGAGAAUUUACAUGUUGGCCGAUUUGUUAGAAUAUGGAGAUUAGAUUAGGUAAAGGAUUGUUAUUUUCAAUCAUAAUUCAAAUGUGUUCUGUUAGCCUCUUUUGAUCAGUUACCAUAUAUGCAAAAUUUUCAACUCUUGUUUAUCGAAAUUUACUUACAUGUCUAGAAAGAUAAAAUGAGUCCAUGCUAGUCAUGGAGUUUUAUGCAAAAUUGUCUGUUUGAAAUGAGAAUUAGUUUUUGUUCGCUGUUUGGAUAAGUUAUGAUUUUGUUCUAUUUUCCUAUGUAAGAAAGCAAACCCUACUGAGUUUGAAUAAAUUUUGUGAACUAAAACCUAUUAAAUCUACUUGAAGUUCAUUAUUCCAAAAUAUGAUUUUUUUUUUUUUUUUUACACUAGCAUUGCUUCCAAUUAAAUCUGCUUUAUUUUUAGAUUACAAUAUUAUAAUUAUAUUAAUAGAGAAUGUUAUCAUUUGGUUGGCCAGAAGAAUAUUAUACAUAUUAAACAAUUAAAUCUUUUAUCAUCAUUGGUUUACUAUGCUUUUGAUAGUAAUAGCUUUAUAAUUUGAAAUCGUACUGCUUCAUAUUUAUUCAUAAUUAAUUUGCAUGAUUCCAGAGCAUGGCGAGGGCCUUCAGAUUCUCCAUUAUGAAGUUGGACAGAAAUAUGAAUCUCACUAUGAUUACUUUCUUGAUGAAUAUAAUACAAAGAAUGGAGGGCAGCGAAUAGCCACCCUUCUCAUGUAUCUGUAAGCAUGUAAUCAGACUUGAUGACCUUUAAUAUACUUGUUAAGAUAACAAGAUUUUCCAUAAUAGCAAAUCGUGUCUUUUUCCUAUGCUUGUGAUUGUGUUCAGUUCGGAUGUUGAAGAGGGUGGGGAGACUGUCUUUCCUUCUGCUAAAACAAACAGCAGUUCGCUGCCAUAUUAUAAUGAGCUAUCAGAAUGUGCAAAGAAGGGCCUUUCUGUGAAGCCAAAGAUGGGAGAUGCAUUACUCUUUUGGAGCAUGAGGCCUGAUGCCACCUUAGAUCCGUCAAGCUUGCAUGGUGAGUUAUCAAUUACCUGAUAAGGCUAUGAAAGCAUCUUCUAAACAUCUAAUAGUUAGUUGGGAUACAAAAUGUGAAUGGUCUGUUUGCCUUUUCCAUAUUUUUUCCAUGCAGACUGCAUAAUAUCAACCUUGAUGGCUAGUUGUUGCCAUUUUUAUACAACAACCAUAACUUUUAUGAUGUGCUAAGUUUCUUCAAUAUCUAAAUUUAGUCCCCGGGACUUGGAACUUUUUUGCAGGUGGGUGCCCUGUGAUUAAAGGGAAUAAGUGGUCAUCUACCAAGUGGAUGCGUGUUCAUGAAUAUAAAGUUUAAAGUUUCACAAUGAAGGUAAAUACUGCUUCCUGCUAUUGAUUUUAAGAUAUUUCAAGGAUAAUUUGUUUCUGACUAUUUUAUUAUUGUCUUAGAAUGAACUAUAGCAACAGUAAAAUAUUUUGCAAACUGCCUUAGAGGCCUAUCUUGGCUAGAUUUAUGUGUUGAAUUUUAUAUCUAGAUGACUUUUUUCCAGUUUUUUAGCUAAUGUUUCCAUACUUUUGAUGGUUAAAGGUGUGACCCAAAUUUAGAAACAUGUUUUUUUCUUGUAUUUCGCAUAUUUUUGAAUUAGACAAACUGCUUUUCUAAACGAUAAUUGAAAGAUGAUCUAUAACAACUCAUUUAUAAAUGUUCGUUUGCAGUUAGUUCUACUUCAAGAGAUUGUCUUCAACUUUUACACUGUACAUAAUUUUUUUCACACCUAGCUGUUGAUUGAUUUCUGGUGCAUGCUGAGUGUCAAAGAUGUUUUUUUUCUUUUUUUUUUUUUAAUUAAGAAUGACAAUUUGGUGAGGUCUAAAUCUAGAUGCUCAUCCUACUUAUCUCCCUAGACUCGGAUGUUUGAGACCACUAUAUCAAAUUAUUGACUUUUGUGUUCAUAUGAAAAUUUGUAGCCAUUCUUAAACGUCAUCAGACAUUUUGAGAGAGAUGAUUUUUUGGCUCCUGCAUGUAUAGAAUGGUUUUAUCUUUGUGUAGUUGAUUAGCCGCCAGGAUGUUUUCGAAGCUCCUAGAGCUCUCUAUGUAUAUCUUACACUAAUGAGUUCACGUAAUUGAGGUAGAAUUAGUAUGUUUUUAUAAAUUUCUGCAUAUUAAGCAUAUACAUCACUUUGAAUUAACUUCAUUGGCAUCCUAAUUUCCUCCUCUUUGAUAUCUCGGCAGGUCGGUACAUUGACGGUAAGCUUACUAUACAACAAGAGACCUGACACAUGCUAUAUAUUCUUUUGUAUGAUACAGAUUAAUGCCUUUCAGUUUUGUAAGUUAUGUUAUACUUGGUUUUAGAUCUAGUAUGGUGCUUUUCUUCCCAUGAAACAAAGCAAUGUUUUUCGCAAUACGGAUGAAAUUAUUGGGAAUCAUUUGCUCCCUUGAUACUGCGGUGUAAAGUCGAGGAUUAAAAUGGUAGUGAAGAGCAAAGAAUGUAUGUAUUUCACUGUUUAACCUUGUUUUGGAUAGAAUAAUUGCUAUGAUACCUUUUAAGCAUAUUCCUUGUUUGCUUUGCAGAAGCUUUCGUUAAUUCAAAUUUCAUUUCGCAACAAAAAGAAGUUGCAAAUUCCACAUAACGCACCAGUUUGAGUCGAAAGCAGGGAAGUAAUAUUUGAGUGAAUUUAUUGGAAAUAAUUGAGUAGCUAGCUUGUCAUGAACUCUUUCAAACUGUUCUCUGCUGCAAUUUAAGCAAAAAGCUUCAGGCAUCUAGGUCUCAUUUAGGCACUUACUCUUAUGGAAGUCCCAACAAUUUAUGCUUAGUUUGGUAAUGCGGUCGUUAAAGUGCAAAUUUUGAAUUUCGAAGCCUAGUUUGGUUAUGCGGUGGUUAAAAAUAUUCAUUUUAAAAGUUUACAAGGUCCAAAAUUUUUGAAAUUUUUUUUACUUUUUUUUAAAAAAAUUUUAUGCUAUAAAAUUGCGGUGAUAACCGUGACUAGAGAAACCGUAGCAGGUGACCGGAUCAGAUCAUCCUCAUUUAUCUCACACAACCUUAGGGGACUUGACCUAAUUGAGGUUGUUCGUACACGUAGAAGUAGCAAUUGCGCAACUGCACCAACCUAACUGCUUUAAUUCCUCCCCCCACGUUAAUUUCCCCAAGCAACUACUUUUUUUCUCUCUUUUUUUUCCUCCAAAAAAAAGCCUCGCCCUUUUCUAAUAACUUUCCAAUUCACACCCUACUCUACACCCUUUAAUUGGAAAAAUUAUUGGGUGAUCGUGGCUUACCACAUCAACGUCAACCGUAGACCACCAAAUAAUUAUAGAUAGAAAUUAUUUUUUCUAAAAAGAAUGAGUUUUUGAUAUGUUAGUAAAUCCAUACAGCUUAUGAGGUGUUCAGAUAAUAAGCGUAAUUAUAGUUCGGUUGGAAAUCAAAUUUAAUGAUAGUCAUAAUAUUUGAAGAGAUGUAUCGUUUGAUCGUAGGGUAGAUCUUAUUUUUAUUCUUAAUAAAUUUUAUUUCACGGCCGAAUCGGAAUCCGGUGUAUCCGAAGGCCUCUUUAGAUUUAUGUGCGCGAUCUAAUAAAAAUUCUUCCACUUAUCAACUGUUACACAUUAAUAACUUGCUAGAGUAGUAAUAACUGCUGAUUCAUCAUCUGCACUCUGGUGGUGACCCCCAAAUGGUCUCCCCACCGCAACAGAAUCUGAGUCAUGUAGCACCUACGUCUGAGUGCUGUUAAUCCCACCACCCGUCAUCCUAACUAUUCCCUAGGGAUGCAAAUGGAUUUGGGUUUGGUGGAGCUCCCAUCCCGAUCCGCCCCGAAUGGGGCAGUAAAUAGGAGAAAAUAAACGGAUUCGGGGCAGGAAACGGGAUAAUUUUUAUGAUCCGUGGCGGAUUCGGGACAGGAAACGGAAAAAUUUUUGAUCCGCCCCGAAUCCGCCUCCCCAUGAUCCGCCCCGAAUCGGUCCCGAAUGUAUGUCUUUAAAAUUUUUCCAUAUGUAUGUAUUUAAAAUUUUUGAAUUUUGUUGCGAGUUGUGAUUGAUAUUUUUUAUUUUUAUAGUUGAUAUUAUUAAUUAUAUAUAACUUGAUAAUAUUAUCAAUUAAUAUUAAAAAAUUUGUUGAUUUAGAUUUAUAAAAUAUUAAUAAUAUUAUAAUUUAUAAAACAAAUACUAUUUGGCGGGGCAGAUUCGGGGCGCCGGCGGGAGGCGGGUUAUAAGGCGGGGCGGAUUAUUGGAUAACUAUUUUCAACCCGUCACGAAUUCGGGGCGGGAGGCGGGGCGGACUUUUUGUAGUCGGGGCGGGAGGCGGGGCGGAGCUCCCGCCCCCAGAUCCGCCCCGUUUGCAUCCCUACUAUUCCCCCACAUUGUCUCAAGCCCAGCGUGCAGCUCGGCUCGGCUCGGCCCGGCUCGGCUCGAUCGGAAUGUCAGACCUCGUGAUCUCGCCACCUCCACCGUCGAUUCUCUGGGCCGCUUGGAGAUCUGUGCGAUUGUGUGUGAAUCUUCUUGUACUGUGGGAUAUUUUUAUUAGAGAAACAUAGUAUAUUGCUAGCUUCGUUUAUAUUUUUAUAAAUAAAUUUAGCUGAAAAUAUAAAAUAAUUAAAUUUUGAAUUUGAAAUUUCAAAUACUAACUAUCAAAUCCUUUAUCACUUGCACUAAGAAUGGUCAGUGAAUCCUUCGAUGUUGAUCCAAGGGUUUCCAUGGGACGAUCACAAGAUGGGCGUCACGUUCACAUAGGGAGUUUAAUCACAGUCAUUGUAAAAUAUAUUUUAUUUUUAUUUAUUAAUAAUAAUUUAUUAUUUUUUAUUAUAAUUUUAUUCAAAAUAUUUUGGAUUUUGUAUAAAUUUAUUAUUUCCGGCAAAAGUCUUAAUUUGAGAAUAGAAUUAAAUUUUUCAUAAAUUCUAGAUAGAUAAUAUUUUUUAUAGAAUGAUAUUUGAGAGUAAAAUUAGUAUUUAUGUUAUUUUUUAUUUUUCUUUAUAUAUAAAGUAAAUAGUAAAAUAAAAAUAAUUCAUUCUAAAUGAACCAAACGACUUUGAAGAUUGGAUCAAUUCAAUUACCAUUCUAAUUCAUUCUAGAGUAGGGCUACUAUACUCUUAUGAGUAUAGAGUUCUUCGUACUCAUAAGUUGUUUUCGAUAAUGGAGCUUCCGAAUUAACGAUUCACUCCGUUAAAUAUGAUCUAGAGUAUUUAAAACUACUAGAAAAUAAAUUUUGUAAUUUUUCAAAAUUAUAAUAAAGUCUAUGAAGUGGGUAUAAAAUGAACGGUUGAAAUCGAACGACGUCCUAAAAAUGGAUGAUCGGAUGUUUCAAUUUAAGAUCGAAGUUAUUGCUUUUUAUCUAGGUAGCGAAUAGAAUUUUCUAUCAAAAAUUCAACCGAUUUCGAUUCUUUUACACCGUUAAACUAACAAGUAUCUUAUACCGGCCGUUAAAAAUUGUCAAUUUUAUGACCUUUUGAUCGUAAGGUAAAUAAUGUCAAAAAAUUAUAAAAUUUGAUUUAUAGAAGUUUUAAAUGCUAUAGAUAACGUUUAACGGUAUGAAUCGUCGAUUCGGAAGCUCUAUCAUCAAGAACAACUUAUAAAUACGAGGACGAUCAUACUUAUAAGAAUACAGUAGUCGGACUCUUCAUUCCAAUUCUAUUAUCUUUUUACUUUUGAACCAAACCAUUAAUGCCAAAAAAAAAAAAAAAAAAAUUCUGCUGUCAAAGUCAAUGGACAUGUUCGAUGGAAUCUGUGGGUCCACUGGAGCAACAAAAAGGGUGUGCGUGGAGUCUCCGAUCUUAUGAUUUGGACGGUUGUGAUUUGGGGCCCGGACAAAUGGACUCUUUUUGUGAAGCCUGUUGGGCACAACAUUUCCUUCGCUCGCCAAAUUUUCGAUUUUCCUUGCACGACACAAUUUUACUGUUUAUCACUAAUGUAAUGCAUCAACAAUGUUUGAUAUGAUGGGUCGUAUUUAACAUAAUUGACUAAAAAUUUAAUAGUUCGUAUGAGAAGCUCUAAAUUUGAAAACUAAUUUUUUUUAUAUUUCUAACUAAAUUUGUGUACAAAAAUAAAUAAAAGAAAUAAUACAUUAUAUUUCUCUCUCUAAAAAAUAUAUAUAUAAUCUGAUAUUUUAUCUUGUGACUAGUGAGUGAAGGAAUGGCAUGACAUCUCACGUAUUAAUUUGAUAUGCUUAAAUUUAUAUUCAUAUAUUAGUAUUUCUCGAGACGGAAACACUUGAAACAAUGAGAAAAUCUCUCUAUUAAUCCUAGUAAGCCACGUGAGUGCAAGUGUUACUCCAAAUUAUAAACCGUUCUUAGCAGCCGAGAGCCGCGCGAAACAUGUCUUCCAACUAACACCCACCCACGCCCACACGCACAUCCACCUCCAUUCUCUCUCUCUCUCUCUCUCCCUCUCUCCCCUGUUCUUCUUCUUCUUCUUCUUCUUCUUAUACAAACUGCUGCUCCUGCAACUACCCAUUAAGUUGCUAAUCCCCACCCUGCAUCAUUCUCUUCUUUCACAGGUUUUUGUUUCUUCUCCUUUUUUGCUUAAAAAAAGGCCACCUUUUGCUCAGAGAAAAGAGAGGAAGGAUCUUAAUGCAAAGAGAAGAUGCACCAAUCCAUGGCCUCCACUACUCCUCCCUCUCCCACUCGCACUACAAGCACCUCCUCCCCAACAAUGCGUAAACCAAAACGCUCCCUUUCCCUCUCCCUGCUCCUCUUCCUCUUCUCAUUCCUCGCCCUUUCCUUCCUCCUUUUCAUCCUCUGCUUCGACCUCCGCAUCCUCUGCUUCUUCCCCAACUCCUCCAUUCCCAUUCCCCCUCCUCCUCCUCCACCCCCUCUCCUCAACCCCAAACCCCCCCAAAGCUCCCACCUUUACCCACGCCCCGCACAUGGGCUUCGCGCCCGCCCCAAAUCCCCGCGCCAAACCCUCCUCCUCAAAUCCCUCCGCCCCAACCCCCGCUCGCGCCGAUUCCCCACCAGGGCCACCGAGUUCCUUCGCGGGUCCUCCCCGAAUCCCCGCUUCUUCAUGACCUGGCUCUCCCCCGCCGACGAAUUCGGGCCCAGGGAGCGAUUCGCGGUGCAGGCCCUCUUCCGAUCGCAUAAAAACGCCACCUUGCUCAUCGCCUCCGACAGCUUGGACUCCCCGCGCGGCGCCCGCCUGCUCGGGCCCUUCGUCGCCGCGGGGCUCCGCGUCGCCGCGAUGUGCCCCAGCUUCCCCUUCCUCCUCGCCGGCACCCCCGCCGCGCCCUGGUUCGACCGCCUCCGCCGGGGCUCCGUCGACCCCGGCGACGUCCCCCUCGCCCAGAACCUCUCCAACCUCCUCCGCCUCCUCCUCCUCUACAAAUUCGGCGGCGUCUACGUCGACGCCGACGUGCUCGUCCUCCGGAGCUUCGCGCGCCUCCGGAACGCCAUCGGGGCCCAAACCCUAGACCCCGCGACGGGGUCUUGGAGCCGCCUCAACAACGCCGUCAUGGUGUUCGACAAAAUGCACCCCCUCCUCUACGAAUUCCUCAAGGAGUUCGCGGAGACCUUCGAUGGGCGCAAAUGGGGCCACAAUGGCCCGUAUCUCGUGUCGAGGGUGGUGACUAGGGUUUUGGCGGAACGGAGCCGGGGUUUGGGUUCGGGUUUUGGACUUAGUAUACUACCACCCUCGGCGUUUUAUCCUGUGGAUUGGAGUAGGGUUAGUGGGUUUUUUAAGGGGCCCCAAAAUGGGGCCCAUUUGAAGUGGGUGGUGAACAAGCUUAGUUGGAUUAGGAGAGAGAGCUUUGCAGUUCAUCUUUGGAAUAGGGAGAGCAGAGGGAUUAGGGUUGAGGAAGGGAGUAUUAUUGGGAGGAUAAUUUCGGAUUUUUGCUUAUUUUGCAAUUUUUCGGUAUCCGAUUUGUAGAGUUGUAAGAUGGAUUCAGAUUAGGUUAGAGCGUGUUUGGUAUUUCUGAAGUACACUCAGAUGAACCCGUGGAGUUUCAGCCGUACGCGAACUCGCCAUCUUGUGAUAGGAAAACUCCCAAGGGGGCCCACAUCAGAUCUAAAUAUUCGUGUUUAUUACUUCGUCGCACUGACGACUUUAAUUCCUCACCUCGAACAUAACAAACGUAUGCUUAGUGGAUUCUGAAAGAUUCUAAUGAAGAGAAACAUUUCUCAAUAGUUAGUAGAGAAAAAAGAAAGAAAUUAGUUUACUGUUUAGUGCCAGUUUUCUAUUUUCAUUUUUUUCCCCCAAACUAUUUGGCAACUUAGUUUAUCUCCAAUUUGUCUGAAAAGCCUAUCCAGCUUGCAUCUCUAUACUGAUCAAACCAAAUUAUUGGUUUCAAACUGUUGCAUGAGUAACAUUCUUCUCUUGCAGCUCUAUUCAGUUCAGGUGUUCAAAAAGAGAAGUUAACACAACUAAAUAAUCAAAUUUAACUUGAAAUCAGAAUUGUAUUUAGACCUUACAUUUGUUAAGGUACUCGCGAAAUCCUAAAAUUCUUCUGCAUUGAGGCCAAUCAGAUUCAAAUUCGUAGGGUGGCUAGUAUCAAUUUCAAGCUCACACAAGUUCUUCCAGACACAAGAAACUUUAUUCAGAAGUACUGAAAUAUAUUACAGUUCUAAACAGACUGAGAAUGGCUUUUCAGAAAGCCGACGAUGAGCUCGUUCACCUGGUCGGGGAAUUGCUCCGGAACAAAGUGAGAUCCUUCGGGGAUAUACGUGAUCUCUAGAUCGGGAACAAAUUGUUUCACCGCCCCGCUCCUGAUGUAGUUCUCCCUUUCUGGAAAUUUCAAGCAGUAAUCCCUUUCACCCAUGAUCAACAGUGCAGGGACUUCCACUUUCGGAUCAGCUGCAAGUUGUAGUCUGCUCAAGGCCCUACAAAUAGCAAACCACUCUCUGUUACUUCCAAAGACUCGUUAGGAGUUUGUUGUAGGGUUAAAUGUGCAGGUGUCGUGAAUUGCGGCUUUUUAGGGUUAGAGCAGGUCAGUUCCUACUACGAUAAACCGUGAUUUGAUGAUCUCUUUUCACUAAAACACUCAAUGAAGCACGGGUAAAAACCAUUUUGAUUGUUUGUAAUUUCCAUAUAUGGAGCACAUCCUAAUUUGUUCAAGUAAAGCCAAAUUGUAAUCCAUCAGAAGUUCAGUUCCUAUCUGUGGCAUGAGCUGUUGCAGCAGCUCACCUGUAAGGCAUUUGGAGAGGAUACUUGAACCCGGAUUUUUCAUACAGAGCAGCAUAAGCAUCAAGAUCCUCCUCAGAAAACCACGCAGGCAACGGCGUGGACUCAUCUGCGAGGUCGAGAAUUUCCUGUCCUUCUUCCGCGAUCGGAAUUUCACUCCGAGAGAACAAAAUGUAAAUCGUGCGCACGACCCUUUUCACGUCGAACCGGCCAAAGUCGGCCUCGGCUCUCCCUGGCUCCUACAGUAAAUUUUACGACAUAAGAGUUCGACAGUAACUAGAGACAUGAUUUGCGGAAUUAAAGGGAUUUACGUACUCGCCACCGCUUUAUGUAGAAUCCUUCGGGAAGUGAAGAAUAGUUGGACGCGGUCGGAGUGAAAGGCAUGCCCAAAGUUACAACUCCUAACACACGGUCGGCGUGAUAAAGAGCAAAGUGAUAUGCCAAAGGAGCUCCGAAAUCUUUUCCUAUCAUGAAUGCCUUCCACACAGCAGCAGGAAAAAGUGUUCAGCUAGAAACUUUAGUCUCCAAAACUUGAUGCCGCGUUUCAGUUUCGUUGUUAGAGUUUCAGUCAUAACAAUUUAGCUAUUGAAAUUUAAUUCUGAUUUUAAAUUUGGAUCCGGAGAUUCCACUAGACCAAUUUUCCAUCUUCAGAUUUCUGAUUUUAACAAAUUGAAGUCUCAGAAAAUAUUGGUCAGACACCCAUUUUUAUUUUUAUUUUUUUUUGUCCCUUCAAAAACAGCAUCAGUUUAAGCUUUUCUCUGAUAAAUAAACUCUGGCAAUUGAAGCUAUAGGUAUGAAAGACUAAAGUUGAAAUCAAACUUCAGUAUUUAUAUUAACAAUCAAUUCAAAAUAAAUCAAAAACUUUUUUUAACUAUACCAUUCUGAAAUUUCUGUUCACAUGGUAUGGAAUUUACAAAAUAUGGAAGACCUACGCACACAGCUAUAUCUCUUCUACCAUCAGCAUGUUAAAGAUUAACAUUCCAUUUUGUAUUCAAGAUGUGACUAUUUAUGUGACAACUCAAAUAGUCCUAAAUAGAAAAUGAAUUGUAUGUGAAAAUACAAAGAUCAAGAGCUCUAAUGAUAAUAAUUAAGUUUAAAUAUUUUGAGCCAGCGAUUUGAAUGUAAUAAAUUAUUAGUAUUAGCAGGCUGAAUCCUUUGAUGCCCAGGGAUAUGGUACCUUCGGGACGGCGAGUGCGUCCAGAAUGGCGAGGAGAUCCGCGAGGAGAUCGUCCCAAAAAGCGUUCUCCGGCUCCGGGGGCUGUUCCGAUAGGCCGUAGCCUCGGAUGUCGGCGGCAAUGGCUCGGAAUCCGGCGCCGGCAACGGCAAUCAUCUGGUGCCGCCACGUGUACCAUAUCUCCGGAAAUCCAUGGAGGAACACCACCGUACCCAACUCCCCUGCAACGCAGUAUUCCAUUCACAAACAAUCAAAUCAUCCGUGCAGGUAAUAAUUGAAACUAGAGUAAAAUAUAUGAUCAUAAACGGAAUUUAUUAAAAUUAGUAUAUUUUUUCUAGCUGUAACGAUUUCAUACUUUUGUAAUUAAUGAUAAAUUUAGUUUCAUUAUGAUGAUCGAUUGUAGAACUAAUAGCUCUAGUGAAACAAAAAAAAAAGUAUGGAUUUAGAAUUAUACACUAACCUUUUCCGAUUUGGGCGAUGUGGAGGCGAAGGCCCCUAAUGUCUAAAUAGAUGUGCUCUAUUUUCUCCAUUUUUCUGAUCUCUUCUAAUUAAGCUCUAUUUCCAAUUUCUAUGCUUGAGGGCUUUUCUUUUCUUUGAUGUUUUGACCGCAGAAAUAUAUUGAAAGGAUUUUUCGGAGUGUGACAGAAAGAAGACGAUCACAAAUUCCAAAAAUUAUGCACCAGGACCUUUUUAGUUAUCAAAUAUUUUGAAGUGCACUAAGUGAGUACCAUACGAGUAGUCAUUACUACUUAAAUCAGCUCAAAUAAAUUUGGUGGGUAGAUCAUUUAACCAUCGGAAGUUAAAUAGGCAAGAUAUUAUAUAUAUAUAUAUAUAUAUAUAUAUAUAUAUAUCAGCUCGAUCCUAUAAAAAUCUUCGUAGUGGGUAAACCACAAAUAUUCAAAAUUGGUAACCUAGGUGAGGUAUUAAUGAUUAUAAAAAACCUAGUUUGUGAUAAGAUGGAUUGUGGUAGAUGGUGGUGGUAGAGUUGGAGUGUAGAGAGGUAGGUUUUCGAUUUUUGUGUUUUCGUGGUGAGUGCACUAUGAAAAUGUUUAUCCGUUCUGUAUAUAUAUAUAUAUAUAUAUAUAUAUAUANAUUUUUUUGUGGUAUUUUAAAUUUAUUUAUCAGGAUCAAUUUAGCAAAAUUUUAUAAGUAAAAUUGUGCUUAAUCCACCUAUUCCAAAAACUCAAGAAAUAAAAUUAAGCUAAAUUUUUUACUUAUAUGAAUUCUUAUUAAAUUUACAUUUUUUUAAAAUUUUAUCUAUUCUGAUGAUUUACUAAUAUUUAUUUUAUUAUUUUUUUUUUACUUACAAUGCAAUUUGUACGGAAGGGGAACUAAUGGUGACAUUUUCAAUUAGUUUAGUAACGAAUUUUGUAUUUUUUUUAUUAGGGUUAUUUGCAUACACGUCCCUGCAAACAUAGUGAAUUGCGAAAAUAUCCCUGCAAAACGGAAACUCCAUAAGUUGUCCCUGCAAAAGUCCUAAUUUAUGCAGAUAUGUCCCUCUGAUUAACAUCUGUUAGAGAACUAUUUAUUUUUUAACAAUUUUCAUGUAAAAUGAUCAUUUUGCCUUCACAAAUAUAUCCCUCCAAAAGCAUCUUCCCCUUCUCUUUCUCUUCCCCUUUCUCUUCGAGCCACCGGAGCGGAUGGUGGCAACGGCAUGGGUCGAGCUCGCCGGCGACGAAGAAGAGGGAAGAGAAAGAAUGAGAGGAAGAAAAAAAGGGAAGAGGAAGAAGGGGAGGAAGAGGGAAGAGAAAGAUGAAGAGGGAAAGGGUUCGUCGCCGCGCACCGCCGCCGCAUCUCCUCCUUCGCCGGCGAUGAAGAAGAGGGAAGAGGAAGAGGAAGAGGAAAAGAAAAAGGGAGAGGAAGAAGAAGAGGGAGAGGGAGAGGGUUUGCCUUUGCCGUCGCAUCUUCUCCCUCGCCGGGGAUGAAGAAGAGGGAGAGGAAGAAGAAGGGAGAAAAGGGAAGAGGAAGAGGAAGAAGGAGGAAAAGAAAGAGAGAGGGUUCGCCGUCGCCGCCGUCGCUGCCGCCGCCGCCCUCGCCGGCGACGAAGAAGAGGGAAGAAGAAGAGGAGGAAGAAGAAGAAUGGUAGAAUCGUAAAUUUACGUUAUAAUUAACUAUGGUUAAGUACUUUAACCGUGGUUAACGAAAAUUUUCUAACAGUCCUUAACGGCAGGGACAUAUCUGCAUAACUUUAGACUUUUGCAGGGAUAACUUAUGGAGUUUCCGUUUUGCAGGGAUAUUUCUGCAAUUCACUAUGUUUGUAGGGACGUGUAUGCAAAUAACCCUUUUUUUUAAUGAUACCAUGAUAGAUUUUGUGUUCUUUUUUUUAUGAUAUUGUAAUUCUAUUUUUUAUUUCUACCCUUUUAUUUUAGUAAUGAUUAAAUAUUAUUUAUCGAAUCUAUAAUAUUUAUUUAUAAAUUUUUUUUUUUAGUAUUUGUGUGACGUGCGUUGCACGUGCACUUAACUAGUAUAUAUAUAUAUAUAUGAGUACGCCUACUAUACUAUCGAUAGUACUAAGCUCUUGAUACUAUUGAGUUUUCUACCGUUAGAUCUACCCUUUGAUCAUUUCCACCCGUUAAAUUAUACUAUUAAACCAACCACUCAUUCAACCCUGGGGACCACUAUCAAUUUAACUGAGGACCAUUAUCAUCCUAACCGCACAUCUUUUCAUCCAACGACCGAAAACUCAAUAGUACCAAGGGCUUGGUACUAUUGAUAGUAUAGUAGCAUAAUUCUAUAUAUAUAUAUAUAUAUAUAUAUAUAUAUAUAUAUAUUCUACCUAUUUUUUUAGGAUAUAUAUACAGUAUAUCAACUAUCCAUACCUGACCCAAUUCACGGAAGCGCACACAUGUUUCUUUCUAUGCUAGUAAAUUAUUAGGGUUAAUUGCACUAUUGGUCCUCCAACAAUUUUUUUAUUUUGAUCUCCAACCUUAUUUUUAAGUCAGAUUUUUAAAUUUCAGAAUUAAUUACACAGUUGUCUCCUAACCUUUUCUUUUUUCUAUUUUGACCUCUAUCAUUUUCUUUUCUGUGCGUGUCCAUCAUGUCAAGCCUAAUCUUUUCAUCUUCAAUGUUUUCCUAUGCAUAUGUAACCAUCUCGUCUUUACAGGCAAUACCUACUUUUUUUUGAAGCAUCCAACAUUUUUAAUGGCGAACCACAACUGCUAAAAGACUCUUACAAAAAUAAAAUAGAUUUGUUCCGAAAUUUAUCAAGAGAUACCUCACAAUGACUGUGAUCUAUAUGCAUAGGCAGCACUUUAUUAGAGUUGACAUAGCUUACUUUAUGCAAAUCAUUAUUGCAGUGUCCCUGGGGUUUAGCUGUCAGAAUGACUAUAGUAUUUGUGGCUUGUCAACACCUCUAUAGAGUGUCAGGACGAGUCGGAGUUGUUUUGGCGUGAAAUGAAUGCAAAAAUAGACUCGGCGCAGAGUUUUGACACUGAAAUCUGCAAAUUGCAGGAUUUUGAGUAUUGCGUACCGGUACCUGAGUGGGGUAUCGGUAUCCCAAAGAAUUAUCUGAAUAGGUGCUUUUGGGUUCUGAGGAUUUGUGCUGAGUACCGGUACCUGAGUCGGUGCGUACCGGUACCGGGACUGAGUACUGGUACUGCAUCGGGUUAGUACCAGUACACAGCUUUCGAAUUUGCUGGCUGAGUGCCGAGUACCAGUACCCAAAUUGAGUACCAGUACCCAAUGCGGCAAAUUGAGUUGGUAAGGGGUCUUGUGGUAAUUUGCUGUUGGAUUUAUCUCCAACUGACUCUAUUGUAUGACAGUCUCUAUGUAACCUCAAGAGUAUACUUUGUAAGACUUUAAGGAAAAAAUGUCAAAAAUAAACACAAUUGAAUGCUGAAAUGUAAUGAUCCGUAAGUUAAUCAAUUUUGAUAAAUAAAAGCAGAAUUCUCUUUUCUAUACGCUGCCAAAAAUUUUUCAUUUGUAUCAACUAGGAAGGACUACUCUUGAUAUAAUUUUUUUUAUUCUAAUUUUAUUAUAAAAUUUAUUUUGUUUUUAAAAAAAUAUUGUAAAGCAUUGAAAAAAAAAUUAAUUCAAUACCAAGGCAUCACCUUAUAGCUAGUGGAUGGAACAAAAAUAUCGAGCUCUUGCAAUUACUCGAACUAGUGGAAAUGUGAGAUGCAUGAUAUUCCAACUCGAAGGGCCUGUUUGUUUACUUGUAAGUAAUUGAUUGUCAAAGUUAAAAAUGACUUUACUGUUACUGAAGUUCAAAUGAAUAAUGUUUUUUCUAUGCCGUCCCUUGAUAAAAGUCCGUGGCUUUAGAAAUACAAUUAUCCCCUUAUUUAUUUAUUUUUUUAAAAAAUUUCACACUAGUAUAUAAAGGGGCAAAAAAAAAUUACAGCAGUUAUGUUUCUUUAUUAUCUUUUUUUCUCUGUCUAUCUUAUAAUUAACUUUAUCUUCAUCUCGAGCAAAAUCAAUAACAGCGUUUUUUGAAAAAAAAGAGUUACGGAUUGAUUUUGUUUACAAAGAACCAAACAAUGAAAUUGAGCAUUUACAACCUAAAACAAUUUCAUCUCUGUUGUCUUGAGCAAUAGGGUACUGGAUUUUUCCUGAAAAGUUGGAGAUUUUCUGCAAGCACAAGUGGCAAAUGGUGUGAUGGUUGAUACCUGAGAUCCCAAGUUUCAAAGUUUUAUUAUUUCACAUUUUUAAUUAGUUUAUUUCUAAACAAAUAAACGAAACAGAUAGCAUGCUACCUUUCUCUUUCUCAAAAGAAAAAAAAAAACCACCUAAAACAAUUUCACCCUUCUCUACUUUUGUACGAUAUGCACAACAAAUUUUAUUGCCAUCAACCUCUUCAAAGCUCAAUUCAUUUUGAAUUGGAAUUUUCUUUUUUUUCCAAUUUGAUUGGAAAUUUACACUUUGCUAACGAGUUUUUUUUUUUUUUGAAUUCCGAGAAGUAUUUUAUGAAAAAUUAUAAAUUACAUUGCUUUUAUAAUUAUAGUGGUUGUAACUAAACUAUAGUGUGAAACAACCGUUGUACUCUAAAAGCUUAAGCUGUUAGAGAACGGUGUUUAAACAUUGUGACUCGAACUCAGGACCUCCUGCUCUUAUACCAUGUGAAACAACCGUUGUACUCUAAAAGCUUAAGCUGUUAGAGAACGGUGUUUAAACAUUGUGACUACUCAAGACUCCCCUUACACAUCUGAAACUCGAGACUUCUUAAGCGGCACAGAACGUGGGCUUGAAUUAAAUGGGAGGAAAUUAAUAUGCUAGGAGCCUGGCGCGACUCGAACUCAGGACCUCCUGCUCUGAUACUAUGUGAAACAACCGUUAUACUCUAAAAACUUAAGCUGUUAGAGAACGGUGUUUAAACAUUUUUAUAUGUAACAUAUAGGAAACUACCAAAGAGAAUAAAUAUAAAUAUAAAUAAAUAAAUAAAUAAAUAAAUAAAUAAAUAAAUAUAUAUAUAUAUAUAUAUAUAUAUAAAAUUUUAUCCUCGAAAACGAAGCGGAGGGACGAGGACGCGCCCAACAAUCUCCAUUGCANGUCCCAUAUAUAAUAUAGAUGAUGUAACUAUUAUCAUAGAAAAAUAUUAACUUCACUCUUUAAAUCACGUGAUUUAACCGAAGCAAAUGAAAGAUAUAUUUUUGUGUAAGAAAUUUGAAUCCAAUUAGGAUAAGUUUCCUGCAUCAAGGCCACUGGGCAAGUAUACUUGUGCCUUAUUGAAGAUUUAAUUGAUUUCAUGUGACCUCAUCUUGUAAUGAUAUUUUUCCAAAUUUCUUUUCCUUUCUUCUUAGUUAAGAUUUUUCUAAUCAAAUGGUGCACAUCAUUGUGUACCUUGCGUUCUAAUUCUUUCAUCCAGUUUCAAUGACAGGUAGGCUCAGAUUCAUACAAUUACUACUCCCAUAUAAAUAUAAGCAGUGCUUCUAUACUUGUUAUUUUUUGCUACCGUUCAUUUACUCAUCUUCAACGGCUCAGGUUUAAUCUUUUAAAAAUUGUGACAUACAAUAGCAUGUCACUUUAUGAGAAGUACCGGUUGUGAGCCCCCAGAUAAUUCUAUAGCGUUAAAAUUUUUAACCCGGUUUAAGUAUUUUGGGCGGUGUCUAGGGCCAAGAGGUUAAGAGAGUUAAGCAUACUAGGACAAGAGUAAUCCUAGGAUGGAUGACCUUUGGAAAGUUGGGGCAUCACAGUUGGUAUCAGAACUAAUUACCAGCCGGAAGUGUGAGAUGAGUCUCGGCUGCGUCAGGGUCGGAAUGACAAGGCUAGCGAGAUGAGUCUCACAUCGCCUGUUACUUGUGAAUCUGUGUCUGACGAGGACGUCAGGGCUUAAAAGGGAGAGAAUGAGAGUCCCUAGAUAGUCCUAUAUAUAAGAGAUAAUAGGGCUAAAAUUCUUAACCCAACUUAAACAUUUUAGGUGGUCGCUAGACCCAAGAGGUUAAGAGAGUUAAGCGUUAUAGGACGAGAGUAGUCCAAGGAUGGAUCACCCAUGGGAAGUUGGGGCGUCACAGUCUUUUAAUAUAUGAGUAAUUUAGUAAUUUUAUCUCUACUGUAUUAUCAAAAUCUUUAUUUUCUUUUUGUUUUCUUUUUCUCUCUCUUUGUUUCCUUACCAAUUCAAUUUGUAAGGAAAUAAAAUUUAAAAACUCGACUAAAAACUGAAAAAUUUUAAAGAUAAGAUCAAAAUCAAUUUAAUAAAUCAAAUUAAUUAGACUAAUCAAAUUAAAUAUAGAGAUUUAUUAUAAGCUUAAAAUUUAAAUUAUACAGUCUAAAUAUAUUUAUUAAUAAGUUUAAAUUGUACUAUACUAUUUAGAUUUAAUUUUGCCCAUACAAUUCUACUCUAAGAAUAAAUUUGAAUUAUACCCUAUAUUUCUAAUCAAUUAUCCGCAUUAAAUUUUUUAAAUAGUGAAAAGGGAAUUAAUAUCUAAAUUAGAAAAAUUCUUAAUUUUUUUAAAUAUAAUAAAUAUGUUGAAUUUAAAUAUUUGCCCACAUUUAAUUUUUUAAAAUUAGUAAUGCAAAAUUAAUGUCUAAACAAGACGAAUUCAUAAUUUUAUUAAACAUAUUAAAUAUAUUAAAUUUAAAUAUUUACGGCAACAUUACAAAUUUUUUUAAAUAGUGAUACAAAAUCAAUGUCUAAAGUAGAACAAUUAUAAAUUUUGUUUAACAUAUUAAAUAUAUUUAAUUUAUAAUUUUUUUUUACCUACAUUCAAUAUUUUUUAAAUAAAUGCCUAAAUUUGAAAACACUAAAAUUUCUAAAAUAAAUGCCUAAAUUAAUGCUUAUAUUAAUGCCUAAAUUUGGGUAAUCAAUCAAUUCCCCAAAUUAGUGCAAAUUAAUGCAUAAAUUUAAGAUAUCAAUUAAAACUUUCUUUAAAUGUUGCAUAAUUUAAUUACAAAAAUAACCUCGAAUGAAAUAACCCUUUUACCCGGUAAAUAUUAAAAUUACAUCUUUACCCUCUAUUGAUCAACAGUUAAGAUCUUUUUUAUUUUUUAUAAAAUAAAGUACCGAAUCAUUUCUCUAUAAAUAUAUUUUAAAGACUAUUGAUGUAAAACUCGCAACUGUAAAUUUACUAAAUGGUAAUUAGCUUAAAUUUUUAAUUCAAAGUAGUGUUAACUAACUUAAAUCAAACAAACUGAAAAAGUUGAAUAGUAAAAUCAAAAUUUUGAAAAAUCAGACAAUCGACUCAAAAUAGUCCAUAAUUCAGUUAAAUUCUGUCGAAAAAAUUAUCCACUCUUUUAGCAGAAAAUACCCUUUCUAAAUAUUUUGAUUUGAAAAUACUUAAAAAACUAUUUUGAAAGAUCGCAUGUAAGAAUCAAUGGCAAAAUAUUAUAGAGAUAAAAAGUUAAGAUAAGACUUGUGGCUCAAGAAGUGCUAGGUACUGUCCUAAAAGUAAGAUUGUCCCUUCACACACGAGGCUCUGGCAAUUACUUCUAGCAAUACAACGACCACGAGAUACACAGUCAGCAUGUCUCCAAGAUAGUGCAAUGUGAGCUACGAAAGCUCUCAGAGAUCCAACAAAUAGAACAAUGUUAAGAAGGAGAAUCAUAAAGCUCAGUUAAAGGUUCAACGAAGAAGAUAAGAGUAGAAAAAAGAAAGUCAAGUACCCCUUAUCGAAUCAUUAACGCUAAUCAUUAAUUUCAAAAACUUGAGCUAUUAGAAAUAAAAAAAUAAUGUCAGUCGAGCCAAUAGUUAAAUUGCAUUCACUGAAUCGCAAUUAUUUGAUUUUCGUUGUGUAUAUAACUUAUUCCUAAUUUUUUUAAUUUAAUUUUAUUUUUAAUUAAUUGGUAAUAAUAGCAUUGCCAUUUUAACUGGUGUUUUCAGGUGGAGUGUGAUAUAUCAAGGGAGGAGAUCUUAUGAGGCGCCCAGGAUUAGUGUUUCCACAUGAUUUCCAUGUUAAAAUGCAGGAGAAAUAGUGUAUAUCAAAAUAUCGACAAGAAAAUUAAAUGAGAGCUGACUGUAGUAUCACUGGUGUUCAGCUUUUGAGGCUUGUCGACAGCUCUGGAGAGUUUCGGGAUAAGUCCGAGUCUCGUUGGUGCGAAAUAGACGCAAAACGGACUCAGCGGGGACGCGAAAGCAGGAGUUAGCAUUAGAAUCUGCGAAAUUGCAGAUUUUUCUGCUAGUUGUACCGGUACAACAUUAGGGGUGUACAGGUACACUUUUUCUACCGGUACAACAUUGGAAGUGUACCGGUACACUUCGCUAGUAUGCGCGGAGCUGCUCUCGGGUUGCCUUCUGUACCGGUACUAAAUCUGCGUGUACCGGUACACUUGGGUAGGUAAGGGGCUUUUUGGUAAUUGCUUGCCUUGAUUGUAUCACCCACCUACUCCCUCCCUAUAUAGGAUAGAGAGAUAAGAGAGGAGAGGUUUGGUGCCCUCUCUCUCUCCUCUCCUUGUGCUAGACGUGGGUAGUGGAGGAGCUUGGUGGAGUUCGAGUAUCAUCGACAUCACACUGCGGUGCCGUUUGAGCGUGUAUUCGUCGUCGUGGUGCUGCGAGGAGGCCGGGCGAGCGUGAAUUUUCGCCCUUCUCGACGUCGCUCCGUAGCUAGAGUCGCUGUCGAGGUGGGUAUCCAACAUUCCUCCAGUUAUUGCAUGACCUCUCUACUUCGAGCUCGUGUGCUGAUUUCUGUAAAAUUCCAGCAUCGACCGUUGGCGUUUCGGCUCGUGUGCGAUGUAGGAGCGUCGGAUUGCAGCGAGACUUGGUUCGUUGGAUUCAAAACUUCGAGAGGAAUCCACGAAUCCCAAGAUUUUUGAAUUUGGUGAAGGUUAUCUUGGUCGAACUCCAAUUCUUCUCUGCUGCUGUUGCAUUGAGCAGAUUUUCGAGUUUUUGAGUUUCUCUUGGUGCAAUUCUUUGAAGGGUCUGGAUUUGGAGCUGAGCUUGAUACUCCAGUUUAAUACUCUGGUAUUGGAUUUUUUAACUCAACCAAAUUGGAGUUUACAAGGUAAAGUUUGCAUUUCCAAUUUGGUUAAAUUAAGCUUAAGUGCUGAAAUUGGUGCUAAGUGAUGGAUUUUCAUGCAUAGAGCUUGGAGAUAGCUUGAUUACUCGUCUUGAAGGAGUUCGGUUGAUCCAGCAGGGAUUAUUAUUGGUUCGAGACUCCCUUCGCUGCCAGGAGUUAGCAUUUGAGGUGGGUUUUCAUCAGGUUUACUCCUAAGUAGGGAUUAGUAAACAUGUAUAGUUUCCGAUUGUUUAUACUUUGUACUAGUUUAAAUUCAUUGAGUAGUAUAUUGGCUGAAAUCUGAAUUUGAAGCAUAUUUUAGAAUCUAGUUAAACUAUACAUGUUGGACUUGAAAAUUGAAUUAGGAGAAAACCCGCGAUUUGGACCUGUCACCUGUUUACACUACAUGAUUUAGCUCUAGGAGCCGUUGUAAAUUGUAUCAUCGCAGUAUUGGUGUGAUGGAUACCCAGGUAGUUUAGAGUUCAGUUACGCUCAUGCUGGGAUGCCUAACGUAUUUUUGCAGUAGCGUUCAGAAUGUUCCGGACUGUUGGGUGCCGUCAGAGUUGACGGUGGACCCAUAUCGCCGUUCUUGCGUCGGAUUGGCCGAGGGCACGUGACCUGUUGGUUGUUAGACCAGUUAGAGUCGGUUACUUGACUUAGUCUUGUGAGAGCCGGUUUAGCUCGACAGAGAUACGCUGCAUACUCGGUUGGGUAGCUCCCACAAGUGCCACUUCGGAAACAGGCGCUGUGCUUUUGCGUUGGUGUCGUUCAUGCCGGUUGGAUUUGCUCUCCACGGACUGGUUAGUGUGGAGGUAGCUGGAUAGUCCCAACUGGGCGUGACGGGUGUAUUCAGUCCCUGGGACGGGUAUGUUUACAGUCCCUAAAGAAAUUGGGUCGGGUUUGACAUCACUACAGUAGGUUAGUUUAGAGCAUGAUAGUGUAAUAACUUGUAGCUGUAGAUUUUAUUUCAGCAUUUAUUACUAUCUUUGCUCCCUUCUGUAGACUUAGUGGGUGGACCGAUGAUGUUGAGGGCGGCACCCACUGAGGACUACUUAUUUUUACAGUAGUUCUCACGCCCUGUUGUUACCCCAUUUUUGCAGAGCCAUCGUCUUCGGCUGCUGCUGUUGCUGAUUAGGAUCGAGGCAAGAGCGACGUGAGUUAGAGCCCUACCAAACGAGCCGAGCUAGAGGUGCCCCUACGGCAGGUAGUUGUUUCCGGUUGGAGUUCAUAUACAUACAGACGUUUAACUCGCCAGUGCGAGUCGUUUUGUAUCUUGGAUUUGACGAAUGUAUAUGAAGCUCAGUUUGUUUUUAGUUGCUGGUUCUUCUGGCAGCUCUAUACUACUGUUUGUAGUAUUGUAUGUUUUACAGGUACAGCUAUCGCUUCGUAUACAGGAAAAAUUUCUUUGUGGAUUUGUAGGCGUGCCCGGGGAACGUGUAAUCCGGGGCGUGAUACCGACAAUCCUGUAAAGACGUCUCACCAUUUGCAAUCAAUAAUUAUUACGUUGAGUACGUCUCCUGCACUUUCAAAAACACGAAGGCCUUCAUAGACUCCGUGCUUAUAAGUUGUUUUCGAUGAUUGGACAUCUGAUUCGAGGAUUGGUGUCGUUAGAUAUGAUCUACGCUAUUAAAACUAUUUAAAAACUAAAUUUCAUAAUUUUUUGACUUCAUUUGCCUAGUGAAUAAAUAGCUUCAAAAUUAACAGCUGAAAAUAAAAAUCUUAUAAAAAAUUGUGAUAAAAGACUCAAAUUUUAAAUCAGAAGUAUUGUUCUUACUUUUGAUAUUAAUUAGACUUUUCUAUAAAAGUUCCGUGUAAUUUGAAUUCUUCUGCAUCAUUGAACUUACAAACGUGCCACAUCGGCCGUUAAAAUAGUCAUUUUUGUGAUAUUUUGAUCACUUGGUAAAUGAUGUCGAAAAAUUAUGAAAUUUGGUUUCUAAAUAAUUCUAAUAGCGUAAAUCAUACUUCACAGAUUCGAUUGUUGAAUCGGAUGUCCCAUCAUCGAAAACAACUUAUAAGGACGGAGGCCUCCGUGCUUUCGAAAACGCAGGAGCUUAGAUGAGAGUCGACAAUCCUGUAAAGAAGCUCUUUCGCCAUGCAUGCGUCUUUUUUUUAGUCCUUUAUUUCUUUCAUCUACUAUAUGUCUCUCUUUUUUGACUGAGGCCUAGUUGCCUCACUGUUUAUGCUAAAUUUUUUUCGGAAUGAAAGAAGAAAGAAGCGGGAUAGCGUGCUAUCCUUUUCUCAAAAAAAAAAAAAUCUUGGAAAUCACUGGUCUUUAUCUUAGCAUACAAGCAUUCACUAACAUCUUGGAAAUUGAUGUUAUUGUCUUGUUGGCAUUUAAAAUUUUAUUAGCUUAGUAAAAUACACAGAGUUUUAAAUAUCACGUUUCACCAUCUUGGUAACGUAAGGUAUCGUUUGAUUUGAGAAUAAAUUUUUUUUAUUUUUAUUCUUGNUUCCACCAAAAGGGUGGAACAACAAUUCCCCCUCUUAACGAGUUAUUCUAAAAUAACCCGUUAAGAGGGGAUUAAAUAAGCUCAUUCUUUUUUCUAGUGUUUGUGCUAAAUUCUUUUUCCGAAUGAAAGAAGCGGGGUAGCGUGCUAUUCUUUUCUCAAAAAUAAUAAUAAUAAUAAUAAUUAUGUUGAAUGAUGGGCACUUUUGUGUUUUGCUUUUGUUUUGUUUUUGUUUUUUUGUUUUUUUUGUAUUUUUAUGUUUUGCAGAAUCAUCCGUAGAACAUGAUUGUAUUUCUCUUAAAUUGUAGUUCUCUAAAGUCAAGCAUAAAUCAAGUGUUAGUCAAGUCAUCUUUAAAGUUAAGUCAAGUCAUCUUUAAAGUAUUUUCUGCGAAGAAAAGUCAUCUUGGAAAUCACUGGUCUUUAUCUUAGCAUACAAGCAUUCACUAACAUCUUGGAAAUUGAUGUUAUUGUCUUGUUGGCAUUUAAAAUUUUAUUAGCUUAGUAAAAUACACAGAGUUUUAAAUAUCACGUUUCACCAUCUUGGUAACGUAAGGUAUGGUUUGAGAAUAAAUUUUUUUUACUUUUAUUCUUGGGAUAGGUACAACUUCAGAACUAAGCAGGAAUAAUGUCAAUUUUACGUUUGGAUAAAAAAUGGGUUAUUUUCGAUAAUAAAAAAAAUAGUGUUUGGAUAGUUAGAUAGGAAUAAUAGGAAUAAAAGUGAUUAUUGUAGUUAAAUAAUAAUAUUUUUUAUUAUUAAUUAACAUCAAAAUAUUAAGUAAAUGAUAUUUNACUGAGGCCUAGUUGCCUCACUGUUUAUGCUAAAUUUUUUUCGGAAUGAAAGAAGAAAGAAGCGGGAUAGCGUGCUAUCCAUUGCUCAAAAAAAAAAAAAUCUUAGAAAUCAAUAAAGAUAUUAAUCAUAGCAUACAAGCAUUCACUAAUAAAUAAUUAUUAAUUUAGUUAAUAUUUUAUUAUUAAAUUAGUUAAUUAUUAAUUUAGCUAAUUAGUUAAUAAAAUGAUAUAUAUAAUAUAUUAAAAAAUUGGUAGAGGUAUAAAGAGAAAAAAUUGUUAUUCCACCAAAAGGGUGGAACAACAAUUCCCCCUCUUAACGAGUUAUUCUAAAAUAACCCGUUAAGAGGGGAUUAAAUAAGCUCAUUCUUUUUUCUAGUGUUUGUGCUAAAUUCUUUUUCCGAAUGAAAGAAGCGGGGUAGCGUGCUAUUCUUUUCUCAAAAAUAAUAAUAAUAAUAAUAAUUAUGUUGAAUGAUGGGCACUUUUGUGUUUUGCUUUUGUUUUGUUUUUGUUUUUUUGUUUUUUUUGUAUUUUUAUGUUUUGCAGAAUCAUCCGUAGAACAUGAUUGUAUUUUCUCUUAAAUUGUAGUUCUCUAAAAUAUUCAAAUUUAAACUCAAAGUCAAGUAUAAAUUAGGUGGUAGUCAAGUCAUCUUUAAAGUUAGUCAAGUCAUCUUUAAAGUAUUUUAAAAGUCAUCUUGGAAAUUAAUGGGCCUUGUCUUAGCAUACAAGCAUUCACCAAAAUCUUGGAAAUUGAUGUUAUUGUCUUGUUGGUGUUUAAAAUUUUAUUAGCUAAGUAAAAUACAGAGAGUUUUAAAUACCACGUUUCACCAUCUUGAUAACGUAAGAGAUUAGGAGACCACUAUAAAUUUUCAAUAAUAUUUGAUUCAUGAAAUUAAUAUGAGCGUGGAAUCUUGACUUCAUUAUUAAAUCAUGAAAUAAAUGCGGGAUCUUGGCUAUUUCUUAUUUCUCUUAAACUGCAGUUCUCUAAAUUCAAAUUUAAACUCUACGUACCGUUUGGUUCGGGUAUAAACAAGAACUUACUAUUACAGAAAUAGGUACAAGUAUGGGGAUAAGAAAAAAAAUAUUUGGAUGAAAAUUGAAUUGUUAUCGGAGAUAAGAAAAAUAGCGUUUGGAUAGAUAAUAUGGAAUAAGAAAAAUAUUAGAUAAUUUUAUAUAAAAAAUGAAUGUGUUGGUGGGAAUAGUUAUAACUGAUUAUUAUAGGUAACCGUGAAUUACUGUUCUCGAAUAAAAAAUUAAUGUUUAGGUAUAAAAGAGAGGAUAAGGUCUAUUCCUAUUUCUAUUCCCUAUAACUAAACACUGCCUAAGACAAGUGAUGUGAAGUCAUCUUGAAAGCUAUUUCUGCGAAGAAAAGUCGUCCUGGAAAUUAAUGACCUCAUCUUUACCUGCGAGCUUUCACUAACUAUAUAUUUACAUACAUACAUUGGUACACAAGCCGGCACAAAAGAAAAACAAUAUAUAGAUAACAAAAAUCUGAGAAUUAAUGGAUAAUUACAAAGCAAUGAUAAGAGCUUUGCUGCUCUUCCUCUCGUUCGCAUAUGCAAUGGCGCCAUGCAAAUCUUCUAAUAUUAGUUGCCCAGAUGCCGAGAGAGAAGCACUUCUGAGGUUUGUCGGAGGUUUCAAUCGAACUGCAGCUGGCUUCUCUUCUUGGGAAGGAAAAAAUUGCUGCAAAUGGGAAGGCGUGGAGUGCGACGGCCGAACUGGACAUGUCGUUCAUUUAGAUCUUCAAGGGAGGGCGUUUGCCAGUAGCAAAUUCGAUCCUUCUUUGCUCCGUCUUAAGCAGCUGAGCUACUUGGAUCUCAGCAGCAAUGACUUUGGGUACAUCCCGAUUCCGUCGUGGAUCGGUUCUUUCAAAGAGUUAAACUAUCUUAACCUGUCUCGAUCGAAUUUUUCCGGGACGGUACCCGAACGGCUCGGAAAUCUAUCGAGACUCCAAACCCUCGAUCUUUCUCGUAAUUUCCUUACAUUGAGUAACGCUAAUUGGCUUUCUCAACUCACCUCUAUAAUUCAUAUUGAUAUGAGCUAUCUUUUGAUUUACGAUGCAUCAAAUUGGCUACAAGCAUUGAACAUGCUUCCAUUAGUGCAAGAAAUUCAUGCGUUUGCCAGCUGCUUCUUCGGUAAGUUUCCACAAUCCCUCCCGCAUGUCAAUUUUACGUCUCUUUCCCUUUUGGAUCUUUCUUUCACACUACGGUUGGAUAUUUCUAAUAACAGCGAAGUAACUUCUAGCUUACCCGACUGGUUGUUUGGAAUUACUUCCCUUCAAUAUCUAUAUCUCACUUCGAGUGGAUUUACUGGGCUCAUUCCAUCUGCAAUUGGAAAUAUGACUUCCCUAAAGGUGCUCGAACUAGGCGAUGUUCACCUCAAUGCUGGGAUACCUUCUAGUUUGAGCAAUCUCUGCAACCUUCGCACGCUAGAUUUAUCAUUUUCCACAAUUAAUUCCCAGUUAGAUGCACUCGAAGAGUCUUUUUCUGGAUGUCUCAAAAAUAGUUUGCAAGACUUAUACUUAGCUUGCACUUCUAUAAGUGGCAACAUACCGGAUUGGAUAGGUGACCUGAACAAUCUAAAUAUUCUUGAUCUUUCACUUAACUCACUUUCCGGUCCAAUCCCCACUUCUCUUUGUAAAUUAUCCACUUUACAGGUGUUAGAUUUUACUGACAAUGGGCUAAAUGGCAAUUUUCUAGAAUGUCUCGUAAACCUUGGUGAUGUAACAGCUUUGAAACUUGGUGCCAACUCCCUUACUGGAGUUAUUUCAGAAUAUCAUUUUUCUAAUCUUACAAAGUUAGAGAUUAUCGACCUGCAUUCCAACUCCUUGGUUUUAAAUCUGAGCUACAAUUGGGUUUCUCCUUUCCAACUCAGUCAUUUGGACAUCUAUGGCUGUAAAUUAGGGCCCAAAUUCCCCUCAUGGCUUCAGAUGCAGAAGCCUCUAACCUACCUCGAUCUAUCUUCUACGGGCAUUUCAGAUUCAGUGCCAAAUUGGUUUUGGAACUCAAUGACCAAUCUUUCAACUGUUUAUCUCGCUAAUAAUGAGGUAUAUGGUGUGAUACCCAACUCAAUAAAAUUCAGUGAUGAUACAGAUUUAUUUAUUGAUUUAAGUUCCAACUACUUUGAGGGACCAGUGCCCUAUUUUCCAUCAAACACGGCACAACUGGAUUUGUCAAACAAUUCAUUUAUGGGCCCUAUUCCUGAUGAAUUUUUCCAGCUAAUGCCUAAUUUAAAUGUGCUUUCGUUGUCAAUGAAUAAAAUAAAUGGCAGGAUCCCCGUGUCUAUUUGUAAUUCACAAUUGAUUACCAGAUCAAUCGCAAACAGUAAUUUAUCAGGAGUGCUCCCAAACUGUCAAAAUAAUACCCAAUUGCUAGUUUUGGAUCUUUCAAAUAAUAAUCUUUCCGGUGGAAUACCCAAAUGGCUUUGUGAAUCCCCUUGGCUUCGAUACUUGCACCAAAGGAAAAGCAGUUUAUCUGGAGAGCUUCCCUCAUCCUUAAAGACCUGCAAGCAUGUAGAUAUUCUUGAUCUUGGUGGUAACAUGUUUACAGGAGGUUUACCAAUCUGGCUUGGAGAGCUCUCGUCUCUCAAGAUUCUUAGCUUGAAAUCGAACAAAUUUGUCGGCCAAAUUCCAACAGAACUCUCUAAUCUUACUGCUCUCCGAAUCUUAGACCUCUCAAACAAUAAUCUUUCAGGGCCGAUACCAAUAAGCUUCGGCAACUUCAUGUCCAUGAGGACCCCUCUUACAAACAGUGGAUUCAUCCUAAACUUCACAUUUGGUAAUUAUGAUGAGAAUAUGAUAUUGGACAUUAAAGGAAGAGAAGAUCAAUAUGGUAGCGAUCUUCUUUCUCAAAUUUCGAUCUUGGAUCUCUCUAGGAAUAGCUUGUCAGGACGCAUACCCGAUGAACUAACAAAUCUUCUUGGAUUGAUGGUAUUCGACUUGUCGAGUAAUGAUCUAACAGGACAAAUGCCUUUCAAGAUCGGCGAUCUAACGCAACUAUUAUAUCUUGACUUGUCGAGAAACAAGUUAUCAGGAGCACUUCCUUCUAGCUUGUCCAACUUAAGCUUCUUGGAAAUCUGGAACAUAUCGUACAACAACUUCUCAGGAAGAAUUCCGACCGGAAAGCAAAUGGACACAUUCGUGGACCCUAAAAUAUAUGUUGGAAACCAAUAUCUUUGCGGAUUCCAAAUAAAUGUGAGUUGCACAGGCAAUGAAGGCGAAGCCACAGGCCCGACAAUUGGCCAGUCAAGUCAAACUCCAACUAAUGUUUCAGAAAAUGCAGAUGAAAAUCGAAAAGAGAUCUUACUCCUUUGCCUUAUUACAAUAGGAGGAUUUACAGUUGGGUUUUGGGCUAUUACUGGAGUUCUAUUGGUAGAUAAAAGAUUUAGGAUUUGGUGGUUCCGAUAUGUAGACGGCUUGUAUGACAGUCUCUAUGUAACCUCUAGAGUAUGGCUUGCUAGACUUAAGAAAAAUAUGUCAAAAAUAAAUACAAUUGAUGGCUGAAAUAUAAUGAUCUGUAAAUUAAUCAACUUUGAUAAAUAAAAGCAGAAUUCUCUUUUCUAUAUGCUGCCAAAAAUUUCUCACUUGUACCAAUUAGGAAGGACUACUCUUGGUAUAGUUUUUUUUAUUCUUAUUUUGUUUAAAAUUUUCUUCUUUUUUUUUUUAUGAAAGUGUAAUAAAGCAUUGAAAGAAAAUUAAUUCGAUACCAAGGCAUCACGUAGCUAGUGAACGGAGCAAAAAUAUUGAGCUCUUGCAAUUACUCGAAGUUUUGGAAUUGUGAGAUGCAUGAUAUUCCAAGGUACUCGAAGGGCCUGUUUAUUUACUUAUUAAUUGAUUGUCAAGUUGAGAUUGAUUUUUACUGAUACUGAAGUUAAAAUGAAUAAUAUUUUUUCUACUACCGACUCUUGAUAAAAUUCAAUGAGAAAUGAUUCGGUACUUUAUUUUAUAAAAAAUAAAAAAUAUCUUAACCAUUGAUCAAUGGAGGUAAAGAUGUAAUUUUAACAUAUAGCAGGUAAAAGGGUUACUUCGUUAUUUUUGUAAUUAAACAAUGAAAUAUUUAAAUAAAUUUUUCAUUGAUAUCCUAAACUUAGGGAUUAAGUUUUUACUAAUUUUAGAAAUUGAUUGAUAUCCCAAAUUUAGGCAUUAAUUUAGCCAUUUAUUUUAGGAAUUUUAGCGUUUCUCUAAUUUAGGCAUUAAUUUAAAUUAUAGAAAUUUUAGAAAUAGUACUAUUUCUAAAUACAUUGAAUUUAAAUAUUAAAUAUUUAAUAUUAAACAUUUAAAUUUUACAAAUGUCAAUUUAAGUUAGAGAAAUUUUGUAUUACUAUUUUAAAAAAUUUAAUGUUGGCAAAUAUUUAAAUUCAACAUAUUUAAUAUAUUUAAGAAACUUUUAAAUUUCUCUAGUUUAAACAUUAAUUUUGUAUCACUUAUUUUAAAAAAAUUGAAUGUAGGUAAAAAAUAUAUGUAUAAAUUCAAUGUAUUUAAUAUGUUAAAAAAAUUUAGAAUUGAUCUACUUUAGACAUUAAUUUUGUAUCACUAUUUAAAAAUUUUGUAAUGAUAAAUUCAAAUUAUUUAAUAUGUUUAACAAAAUUUUGAAUUCCUCUUGUUUAGACAUUAAUUUUGUAUUACUAAUUUAAAAAAAUUGCAUAGGGGUNUAUCAUCAUUAUUUUAAUGAUUUAAUGAGUACAUAAUUUUCUGUUUUUAUAGGAAGAAACUCCAUGGACCACUAGCCAUGAAGAGGGUUUCAUUGGACGAUAACAUCCAAUAUUAAAAAUUUUUUUAAUUUAGACUCGGCAACUUCACCUCACUUACUUGCUAUUGCUUUUUAUUAUUCAUCUCAUCACGAAAAUAUGGCCAAUAAAAAGUUAUGGCAAGUAAGUGAGGAUAAGUUGCCGGAUUUAAAUAAAUAACUAUUCAAAUUUAACGUGAUAUGAUAAAUCUAAAUAAUCUCCAAAAGGGACGUGUAUGCAAAUAACCCUUGUAUAUUUUCUCUUUGUUUUUUUUUUUCUCUCUCUGUUUCCUUACAAAUUCAAUUUGUAAGGAACUAAAAUUAAAAAACUUUAAUAAAUCAAAUUAAUUAGACUGAUCAAAUUGAUAAAAUAUACAAGGGUUAUUUGCAUACACGUCCCUGCGAACAUAGUGAAUUGCAGAUAUAUCUCUGCAAAACAAAAAUUCCAUAAAUUGUUCCUGCAAAAGUCCUAAGUUAUACAUAUAUAUCCCUGCCAUUAAGGUCUGUUAGAAAUUUUUCGUUAACCACGGUUAAAAUACUUAACCAUGAUUAAUUAUAAUGUGAAUUGACAAAUUUACCCUUCUUCCUCUUUCUCCUCUUCAUCUUCUCUUUUCUUUGUCGCCGGCAAGGGAGGAGAUGCGGCCGCGGCGGCGACGGCGGCGGCGAACCCUCUCCCUCUUCCUUUUCCCUUUUCCUCUCCCUUUUCCGCUUCCCCCUUCUUCUUCCUUUCCCUCUUCCUCUUCCCUCUUCUUCGUCGCCGGCGAGGGAGAAGAUGAUGCGGCGGCGGCGGCGAACCCUCUCCCUCUUCCUCUUCCUCUCCCUCUUCCUCUUCCCUCUUCUUCUUCCUCUCCUUCUUUCUCUUCCCUCUUCUUCGUCGCCGGCGAACCCGACCGCGCGCCGCCGCCGCUGUCUGCUCCGACAGCCCGAAGAGGAAGAGAAAGAGAAGGGAAGAGGGAUACUUUUGGAGGGAUAUAUUUGUGAGGGUAAAAAGGUCAUUUCACGAAUCCACUGUUAAAAAAUAAACAGUUCACUAACGGAUGUUAACCAGAGGAACAUAUCUGCAUAACUUAGGACUUUUGCAGGAACAACUUAUGAAAUUUUCGUUUUGCAGGAAUAUAUCUGCAAUUCACUAUGUUUGCAGGGACGUGUAUGCAAAUAACCCAAUAUACAAAUAGCUUAGAUUUGUUCAAUAUAAAUUUAUAUAAUUUAUCUACAUUUCUAAUUUUGUUUACUCUAGUAAAAUUCUAUAGUGGAGAUUUAUUAUAAGCUUAAAAUUUAAAAUAUACAGUCUAAAUUUAUUUAUAAGUUUAAAUUGCACUAUACUAUUUAGAUUUCUUUUGUUUUUGAGAUAUAGGUAGCAUACUACCCGCUUCGUUUAUUUCAUUUAGAAAUAAACUUAGCUGAAAUUCAACUAGGAUUCGAACUUGGGACCUCGGGUACCAACCACCAAGCCCGUUGCCAAUUUGCGUUAGGGACGGUUGGUUAUACUAUUUAGAUUUAUUGGAGGUUUUUGUAUACUUUUUAGGCUCNUCUAAACAUCAAUUUUUUUUUUCAACUUCUAUUUUAAUUACAAUACAUGAUCUUAUUAUUUUAAAAAAUCAAUUUUACUAUUAAAAUUUGAAUAAUUUUGCACAUUACAAUUCUAUUUAAGAAUAAAUUUGAGUUAUACUCUUAUUUCUAAUCAAUUAUCCACAUUAAAUUUUUAAACAGUGAUAAAGAAUUAAUAUCUAAAUUAGAAAAAUUUAAAUUUUUUUAAUAUAUAAAUAUGUUGAAUUUAAAUAUUUGCCCCACAUUCAAUUUUUUAAAAUUAGUAAUACAAAAUUAAUUUUGAACAAGAUGAAUUCAUAAUUUUGUUUAACAUAUUAAAUAUGUUAAAUUUAAAUAUUUACAACAUUACAAUUUUUUUAAAUAGUGCUACAAAAUUAAUGUCUAAAGUAGAACAAUUCUAAAUUUUUUUAACAUAUUAAAUACAUUUAAUUUAUAAUUUUUUACUUGCAUUCAAAUUAUUUAAAUAAGUGAUACAAAAUUAAUGUCUAAACUAUAGGAAUUUAAAAGUUUCUUAAACAUAUUAAAUAUGUUGAAUUAAAAUAUUUACCAACAUUACAAAUUUUUUAAAUAGUAAUACGAAAUUCCUCUAACUUACAAUUAAAAUUUUAAGUUUAUAUAUUUAAUAUUUAAUAUUUAAAUUAAUGUAUUUAGAAAUAGAACUAUUUCUAAAAUUCCUAUAAUUUAAAUUAAUGCCUAAAUUUGAGAAACACUUAAAUUUCUAAAAUAAAUGCCUAAAUUAAUACCUAUAUUAAUGCCUAAAUUUGGGUAAUCAAUCAAUCAAUUCCCCAAAUUAGUGCAAAUUAAUGCGUAAAUUUAGGAUAUCAAUUAAAACAUUCUUUAAAUGUUAUAUAGUUUAAUUACAAAAAUAAUCUAGAAUAAAGUAACUCUUUUACUUACUAAAUGUUAAAAUUAUAUUCUUACCCUCUAUUGAUCAACGAUUAAGAUCAUUUUUAUUUUUUAUAAAAUAAAGUACCGAAUCAUUUCUCUAAUAACUAUAGAAGCACUAUUCAAGAAAAAAAAAUCUAAAAAGAAAAGCAAAUAUAGGCGUCGAAACAAAGAGUCUAAUGUUUCCCAAUAGUUAGUGGAGAAAAGGAAAUGAUUAUUUUAUUGUUUAGUGCCAGUUUUCAAUUUUCUUUUUUUUUCCCAACUAUUUAGCAACUUGGUUUAACUCCAAUUUGUCUACUUGCAGCUCUAUACUGAUCAAACCAAAUUAUUGGUUUCAAACUGUUGCAUGAGUAACAAUCUUCUCUUGCAACUCUCUUCAGUUUCAGGUGUUCAAAAAGAGAAGUUAAAUCAACGAAAUAAUCAAAUUUAACUUGAAAUCACAAUUGUAUUUAGACCUUACAUUUGUUAAGGUACUUGCGAAAUCCUAAAAUUCUUCUUUGAGGCCAAUCAGAUUCAAAUUCAUAGGGUGGUAAGUAUCAAUUUCAUGCUCAAAAAGUUCUUUCAGAUACAAGAAACUUUAUUCAGGAGUACUGAUAUAUAUUAUAGUUCUAAACAGACUGAGAAUGGCUUUUCAGAAAGCCGACGAUGAGCUCGUUCACCUGGUCGGGGAAUUGCUCCGGAACAAAGUGAGAUCCUUCGGGGAUAUACGUGAUCUCUAGAUCAGGAACGAAUUGCUUCACCGCCCCGCUCCUGACGUAGUUCUCCAUUUCCGGAAACUUCAAGCAGUAAUCCUUUUCGCCCAUGAUCAACAGCGCAGGGACUUCCACUUUCGGAUCAGCUACAAGUUGUAUUCUGCUCAAGGCCCUACGAAUUGCAAACCGUUCUCUGUUACUUCCAAAGACUUGUAAGAGUUUGUUGUAGGGUUAAAUGUGCAGGUGUCGUGAAUUGCGGGUUUUUAGCGUUAGAGUAGGUCAGUUCCUGCUUUGAUAAAUCGCGAUUUGAUCCUCUUUUCACUUUAUAUCCUCUUGUAACGACCCAGCCCACUAGCAAUAAUAACUCGUUGGGCCUUAUAUCCUCUUGUAACGACUCAGCACACUAGCAAUAAUAACUCGUUGGGCCCAACCACCGGUCCAAAAUGCUUAAACCCAGUUAUUAUUACUAGUGUCUAAGUCUCUUAUAUAUCCAAUCACAUCCUCCUUUCUAUCCUAUAUAGGAUUAUUGGGGUGUGACAGACUUCCCCCGUUAAGGACCUGACGUUCUCGUCAGUCCAAUCACACACACAGCUCAAGAUCACCAGGCGAUGUGAGACUCGUCUCGCUAGCAUCUUGUCAUACAGACUCCGGCAUAGCCUAUCACUUUGUAUUUCAGACCCUGACUCAGUCGAGACUCGUUACACAUAGCCUAUCACUUUAUCUUUCAGACCCUGGCUCAGUCGAGACUCGCCACACAUUUUCGGCUGGUGAUUGGCUCUGAUACCAAAUGUAACGAUCCAGCCCACUAACAAUAAUAACUCGUUGGGCCUAACCACCGGCCCAAAAUACUUAAGCCUCUUAUUAUUACUAGUGUCUAAGUCUCUUAUAUAUCCAAUCACAUUUCCAUUUCUAUCUGAUAUGGGAUUAUUGGGGUCUAACAUCUCUUUUCACUAAAUUACUCAAUAAAGUAUGGAUAAAAGAAUUUUGUUUGUUUGCAAUUUACAGAUAUAGAAUACAUCCUAAUUUGUUUUAAGUUCAGUUCCUAUCUGUGGCAUGAGCUGUUGCAGCAGCUCACCUGUAAGGCAUUUGGAGAGGAUACUUGAACCCGGAUUUUUCAUACAGAGCAGCAUAAGCAUCAAGAUCCUCCUCAGAAAACCACGCAGGCAACGGCGUGGACUCAUCCGCGAGGUCGAGAAUUUCCUGUCCUUCUUCCGCGAUCGGAAUUUCGCUCCGAGAGAACAAAAUGUAAAUCGUGCGCACGACCCUUUUCACGUCGAACCGGCCAAAGUCGGCCUCAGCUCUCCCCGGCUCCUAUAAUAAGUUUUAUGACAUGAGAGUUUGACAGUAACUAGAGACAUGAUUUGUGGAAUUAAAGGGAUUUACGUACUCGCCACCGCUUUAUGUAGAAUCCUUCGGGAAGUGAAGCGAAGUUGAAGCCGGUCGGAGUAAAAGGUAUGCCCGAAGUUACAACUCCUAACACACGGUCAGGGUGAUAAAGAGCAAAGUGAUACGCCGGCAAUGCUCCGAAAUCCUUUCCUAUCAUGAAAGCCUUCCACAAAGUAACAAGAAAAAUUGCUCAGCUGGAAAAUUUAGUCUCCAAAAUUUACGCUGCAUUUCAAUUUUGUUGUUAGAGUUUCAGUCGUAACAAUCUAGCAAUUGAAAUUUGAUUCUGAUUUCAAUUUUGGAUCCGGAGACUCCACCUGACCAAUUUUAUUAUAUCUUCAGAUUUUGGUUUUAACAAAUCGAAGAAUCAGAAGAUAUUGGUCAGGCACCCUUUUUUUUUUUUAAACCGAAAACAGCAACAAUUUUAGCUUUUCUAUGAUAAAUAAACUCUGACAAUUGAAGCUAUAUGUAUUAACAUUCAAUUCAAAGUAAAUCAAAACUUUUUUUAAUUAUACAAUCCUGAAAAUUCUGUUCACACAGUAUGGAAUUUGCAAAAAAAAUAUGGAAAACCUACAUACUCAGCUCUAUCUCUUCUACCAUCUGCAUGUUAAAGUUUAAGAUUCCGUUUUGUAUUCAAUAUGAGACUACUGUUAUUCUUAACACUAUAUAUGACCAAAUAGAAAACAAACUGUUUAUAAAAAUACAAAGAUCAUAAGUUCUAGAAAUAAUAAUUAAGAUUAACUACUUUGAAUUAUUAGUUUGGACCCAAUAAAUUAUUAGCACUAGCGGACUGAAUCGCCACAGAAUGUACAAUAAAAAUUAGUACCGAAGGAUUUGGUACCUUUGGGACCGCGAGUGCAUCUAGAAUGGCGAGGAGAUCGGCGACAAGGUCCUCCCAGGAAGCGUUCUCCAGCUCCGGGGGCUGUUCCGACAGGCCGUAGCCGCGGAAAUCAGGGGCGAUGGCUCGGAAUCCGGCAUCGGCAACAGCGAUCAUCUGGUGCCGCCACGUGUACCAUAUCUCCGGAAACCCAUGGAGGAACACCACCGUACCCAACUCCCCUGCAACGCAGUACUCCAUUCACAAACAAUCAAAUCAUUCAUGCAUGUAAUAAUUGAAACGAGAGAAAAAACUGUAUGGAUUGAGAUAACUGCAAUCCAAUAAUAUGGUAAAAAUAUAUAAAAUUUAUUUGAACUAUGGAUUAUUUGAAUUUAGCUACUCAGUCGUUUAAAACUUUAAUUUAGUAAAAUUGUACUUUUGCUUUAAAAUUUAAAUACCUCGUUUAUUUUUACUGUUGUAGUUAGUAUAUUUCAUACAAUUCUCAUAAUUAUAAGUUCACUAAAAUAAAUAAUUAACUUAAAUUUUAGAGUUAAAGAACUGUUGGUUGACUAACUCAAAUCAAAUAAUUUAAAAAAUUAGAUAGUAAAAUCAAAAUUUUAAAUAAUUAGAUACCAAAAUCGAGAGCUAGGCUCCUAUUCUUUCGAAAGUACGGAGGCCUCCGUAUUUAUAAGUUGUUUUCAAUGAGGGACAUCCGAUUCGAUGAUCGGCUCCAUAAGGUAUGGUCUACGCUAUUGGAACUGNUAUUUUUUUUUUAAUUUCAUUUGCCUAGUGAACGAGUAGUGUAAAAAUGAAUGGCCGAAAAUAAAAAUUUCAUUAAAAACAGCGAUAAAAGAUUCAAAUUUUAAACUAGAAGUAUUGAUUUUACUAUUGAUGUUAAAUAGAAUUUUCUAAUAAAGUUUCAUAUAAUUUAGACGGUUCUACACCGUUGAAUUUAAAAACAUACCAUAUCAACCGUUAAAAUAGCCAUUUUGGAGAGCUUUUGAUCAUAUAAUAAAUGAUAUAAAAAAAUUAUGAAAUUUGAUUUCUAAAUAGUUCCAAUAGCAUCGAUUAUGCCUAAGAGAACCGAUCGUCAAACCAGAUGUCUCAUUAUCGAAAAUAACUUACAAAUACGGAAAUCUUCGUCCUUUCGAAAGCACAAGAGGAGACAUACUCCCAAAAUCGACAUGGUUUAUAGUUAAUAUAAGUUCCAAACAUUUUUACCAACUAAGAAUUUCCCCUCUUUUAUCAACGACCAUAAUGCUGAGGAGAUCUACUGUCUAACUGCAAUUAUUUCAAACUUUUCUAAUUAUCAAAAGAUUCAGGAUCAUCUUAAUGAUCGAUUGUAGAACUAAUAGCUCUAGCAUUAAAAAAAAAAAAAAAAAACCAAAAAAGUGGAUUAAGAAUUAUAUACUAACCUUUUCCGAUUUGGGCGAUGUGGAGGCGAAGGCCCCUAAUGUCUAAAUAGAUGUGCUCUAUUUUUUCCAUAUUUUUUUGAUCUCUUCUAAUUAAGCUCUAUUUCUAAUUUCUGUGUUUGAUGGCUUUUCUCCUCUUUGUGGUUUUGAGUGGAGAAAUAUAUAGAAAAGAUGUUUUGGAGUGUGGGAGAGAAGAAGAAGAAGACAAGUUCCAUGAAUUAUGCACCAGAACACCCUUACUUGUAAAAUAUUUUGAAAUAGACUUUUAUAUUUUUAUCUUUUUUAUUUAUGUUAUUUUUAAAUUUUUAUUUAUUAACCAUUAGUUGUCAGUAAAAUUAUUCCUUUAGCUAAAAAAUAAUUAAAACUAUCAGAUUUAAUUGAAUCACCAAUAAUAAAAUAUUCUAAUUUAAUCGACUGAAAUAUAAUCUGAGUGAAAGUAGAUUCAACUAAGAGGAUAUUACUUACACCCCAAAAAAAGUAUAAAUCUUACACUCGAUUUCUAGAGUUUAAAAUUCUUUUAAAUUUAUUGUAUUUAAAAAUAAUAAUUUUGGCAAAUUAAGAAUCCAAUAUUGACCCUUGGAUAAGUAGAGAUGAAAAUAAAUCUGGAUUGAUAGAACUUCUGUCCUGAUCCACCAAAAAGUUAGAGCGAGUGAUGUAGAACCCUUUUUUUAUGGUUCAUCCGUUUCAUAAAAUAUUUGUCAUUAACUCGCUCUAAUUUCGACUCGUUCAAAAUAGAACGGUAAGUUGAACACAAAAUAAAAUAGAAUUAAAUCUAUUAUGAAUUCAUCUUUCUCGUCUCGCUAAGAAAAUGGAGUGGAAGAUGGGAGACUCAUCCCACUUCGAAUCUGGUCUAUUUGCAUCUCUAUUGAUGAGUAUAAAAUUUACACUCUUUUUAAAUGUAUUACUCUCUAAAUUUUACCCCUUUUUUACUGUCUUUAAAAUUUAUUUUUUGUGCUAGUAGGUUAUUAGCCUACAAGUUUUUUUAAUUUUUAUAAUAUUCUAUUAACAGUUCUGAUUUUAUAUUAAAAAUAUUGAAUAUUCCAAAAGAAAUAGUACAUAUCGCGUGCAAAGUCUAUACAGCCAUAGACGCAUAGAAAGAUAUUGAAAACAAUGAUUAGAUUAGACUUGCCACAAUGGACAUGCACUGGAAAAGAAAUAUUAGGGAUCAAAGUGAAAAAAUUAGAAAAGAUUAGGAGCAAAUUGUGUAAUUAAAUUCUAAACUUUAAUAAAAUCUGGCUAGUAAAAGAAGGGUUGGGAAUUGGAAUACAAAAUAGUUGGGGGACCAACAGAGCAAAUAAUCCUAAUAAAUUAUUGAAUUGAAAAAUGUGGUCAGCAAUCUUGUCGUGGAAUCUUGGAGGCGUGUGUGAGCUUGAUGCCAUCACAUGCGGUGGCCAACAAAAAAAAUACGAACCUUCUAGAAUGAGACGAGAUGUCAUUAAUACCCCUCACUAGUUCCGUUACUUUUCCCCGUUGCAGAGGACAUAUCGGUAAAAUCAUUCGCGCAUCAUCCUUUUCUCAACGCCUGAGGUUUGUCCGUUUGCGUUUGAGUCGGAGAGACGAUGGCUUUUGCAAGAGGUAGCCCCCCUCCUCAAACCCGCCUCCAAAGGCGCGACUCCGCGCCUCCGCACCCAUACGACCUGGCCGGGCCGCUUCCCUCUCCCGCGGGCAACGCCAACUCUGCAGGCGCCCCCCCGCCCGCUCGCUGCGACCCCAUCUCUGCAGCGCCCGCCCCCUCCCCGCCGCACGACCCCUUCUCUGCAAAGCCCUCUGUGUGACACCAUCUCUAUCCAAGACCCACGAGUCCCCGCCGCUCCAAAACCCCCGACCAGCAAAGACCAUCGUCUGGCACAGAGCUCCUCCCUCCCAUCCGCGGCAGAAGGCGACGACCGAUUCUGGCAGAGCACGCUACGGAGGCGCUGACUCCGCACACCACGCUUCGCAGCUGGGCGUACCCGCUACCGCAUCUCUACAGCACCCCGCCGCGCGACCCAUCUUUGACAGCGCCCGCCCCCCCACCGGGGGUCUCCGCACCGCGCGCGCGCAAAUUAGUCCGUGGCGGACCCACCGGACCUGCGGCGCGCCAUUGUGCCCCUUCCUUGCCGUCGCCCCACUGCAGCGCCACCCACUCCCCCCUCCCAGCGCGCGACUAUCCUGUGCUCGCCCCCCGCCCGCCGCACCCCAGCGCGACACCAUUCUCUGCAGCGGCCCGCCCCGGCCCGCCCCCCCGCCCCGCCCGCCCAUGGACCCAUUUCUGCCAGCCCCCCACCCACCGACACACCCGCGCACCAUUGCGAUCAUCUCUGGAGAGCCCCCCCCCCUUUUCCCCCCCCUGCGAACCCAUCCGCAGAGACCACGGCCAACCCCCUUCCCCCGGCGCGACCCAUCUCUGCAGAGACAAACCCCAACAUCCCGCGCAAACCCAUUCUCUGCAGCGACCCCCCGCGCAUGACCCAUCUCUUGGCAAAGCGGCCCCCUCCCCCGCCGCGCGGGACCCCACUCCCGUGGCGACCCAUCUGUGCCGCGCCCUGCCCCCAACUGCAAGCCCCCACCACGUACCAACGCGAAAUAGUACCCCCCUUCCCCCGCGCGCAGCGCUAAACCACACCCACGCAGCUGAACCUUAUUGUAACCCCCCGCGCCCGCCCACGCCCCUUCUCUGUCGCCCUCCUCCUCCCCCCUGCCCCCCUCUGCAGCCAACACAACCCCCGACUCUCUGCAGGCCCCCUCCCCCCCCCAAUCUCUACACAGCCAACACAAACCGCGCCACAUCUCUGUCAGCUCCCCCGNNNNNNNNNNNNNNNNNNNNNNNNNAAGUCAACUCCCGUUUUACUGCUUUCCGGUUUCUUUUCUCGGCCACGAUAUUUGUGGAAAGUUAAGUUAUAUAUUAUAUACUAUAGUACUUUAUAAUAUAUAUGAGUUGAGUUAGGAUACUUUUAACAAGGUAUCACCCCAUAGGUACUAUUAGGUUUUUAGCCAUUGGAUCUACUUCUUGAUUAUCUACUUAGUCCUUGGAUCGACACUAUUUCACCCUACCACCACCUAACCACAUCAUACUCACUCACAAUCUCUCCAUCCAAGGGCUAAAAACACUAAAGCACCACCAAGUGGAUACUUGUAAAAGUAUUCUAGCCCUACGUCUAUUAUAUAUAUUAGUAUAAUAGUAUAUUACUAUAUAUAUAUAUAUAUAUAUAUAUAUAUAUAGAGUGGGCUGCUGUGCUUCUUAAGGAGCACAGCAGCCCUGUGCCUAUAAAAGCAGUCCACCAUCCAUCUAAUAGGGAUGCGAUGGCUGAGAUUUGAGGAGCUUUUAAAAGGGAAACCCACAGUUAACUGGGUUAUACUUAACGGACAUCUUCUCUCUCCUAUUUUUUUUCUUUUUUUUUUGUCCUUUUCUCUUUUCGUCGUCCUGUUUCUUCGUCUUUUUCCCGCUAGCUCUCUCCCUCCCUCUCUUCUCGUCUCUACAAGUGGAUGCUAUCUCUUUCUUCUCCCCCAAUCUCUCUCCCUCUCCUUCGACCUGUGGAUUGUGGAGCUUCUCCCGUACCUUUGAGCGUCACCGGAGAAGACGAUGGUUUUGCAAGAGGUAAGCACCCCCUCCUCAAACCCGCCUACCAAAGGGCGACUCCGCGGCCUCCGCACCCACGACCUGCCGCGCCGCCUCCCCUCCCGCGGGCAACCCAAUCUGCAGGCGCCCCCCCGCCCGCUCGCUGCGCACCCCCAUCUCUGCAGCCGCCCGCCCCCGUCCCCGCCGCACGACCCUAUCUCUGCAAGCCCUCUGUGUGACACCAUCUCUACAAGCCCGCGGGCUCCGCGCGCCCCCAGCAGGGGGGGGGGGGGUGGGGGUGUGGCCCCAUCUCUGCAGAGUCCCUCCCCUCCCCCCGCGGGCACCGAUCUCUGCAGGAGACACCCCCACCCCCCGCACCCAUCGUCUACAGAUCUCUUCCCAACGUCUUUGCAGCCAACCCCCCUCCCCCCAUCUCUGUCAGCCAAAAUUUCUCCUCCAUUUAAUGUGAUUACUUAAGUUUCUCAAAAUUUGUCUUGCAUUGAUCAUCAUUGAAAUUCUCUGUUUCAUUAUUAUUUAUUGAUUGGUUAAUUCUUAUACAAUAUAUUGUAGAUGGAAACUGGCAAUUCACUAGAGUCGGAUAAUCAGUUAGAGUUUAUGCCCGCUGAAGGCGCCUCUAAAAUCGGUUCGACAUCUACGUACUUUGGUACUGAUAAUACUCAAAUCACUAUUGAUACUUUUGAUAAUGAAAAUGAAAUUCAAUGGAGUCAUGAACCGGAGAUUGGUGAUUUUGAUGGAGAAAAUGAAAUUCUAUAUGAUAAUGAGCUAGCAAUUGAAGAUGAACCGACAAUCAAUGAGCCAUAUAUCGGACUGGAGUUUGGUAGUGCCGAUGAAGUAAAGAAAUUCUAUAAUAUUUAUGCCUUCAAAAUGGGUUUUAGUAUAAGAAAGUCUACUCAUUACAAAUCUAAGAAGUUUGACAAUAUGAUCUCAAACAUUGUUUUCACUUGUUCAAAAGAAGGACAACCAAACCAACCAACUUGGGUUGUUCGGACAUCCAAAAAAUUCUCUUCCUUUGCUCUUGGAUUGUUGUGAAACUCGAAUAACAGCCGCUUUAUUACAAUUGCAACGAACAACUCCACUUUCAUGAUAGUUUUUUCUGGACCAGCCCAUCGCAUAGAGCACCUACUCUGUGCUAUUGAUUUAUCCGAUAACCUGCAUUCACAUUACUGUUAAUUAGUAUAUAAAACUAAAAAAAACGUAGAUCGGCAGGUGAUCCGUCCUUUCUCCCCCUUUCGUCAUAAGGCGUGGUCUGGCACGUGGGAAAUCACAAUCAGAGAGAAGUAACGAGAGAUCCGCAGGAAAUAGCGAAGUACAUGAAUUGGAUCUCUUUUCUUUAGCUUAGAGAGAGGGACGACAUAGAAAAGCUAGAGGUUAACUCACACAUGAUACUAUGCAAUAAUAGGUGCUAAAUUCAUUAAUGACGCAACAAGCAUGCAAGAACAAGAAGCUAACAUAAUGCAAUGAUGCAAAUUGCAGCAGGAUUCAACAAUUGAGUUGCCCAACAAAUUGCAGCAGGAUUCAACAGUAAUGGAUUGAAUUCUCCAGGAGGAAAAUUCGUGCAACUCCUAAUUGAAUUCCAACAAAUCGAGCAAAUCUGUUUGCAAAUUGAUUUCAAAGGAAAAAAAAAUUGACUUUGAAACAAUUAAAGCAUCAGCAUUCGACAAGCUUCAAUGUACAGGAUGAUAUAGGAUUUAAACAACAAACAACUUUCUGAACCUUUCAGAGAUGGGUUGCGCAGGCGCGGGGGGGCCGGCACAGAUAGGUUGCGCGCGGGGUGGGGUCGCACGCGCGCCCGGAGGGGUCGCCGCGAGCGCAGAUAGGUCGCGCCGGGUGGGGUCGCGCGCGCCGCGGCGGGAGGCGGGGUGGGUGGGCGGCUGCAGUGGGGGCAGGCGGGCACAGAUGGGUCCCGCGGGGUGGGGUCGGCCCGCGCACCCUCCCGCCACACGGGCGCGGGGGUGGGGCCGCUGGGUGCGCAGAAGAUAGGCGUCGCCCGGCGGGGGGGUGCUGUAGAGAUGGUGCGGCGGUGUGGGGGUGGUCUCUGCAAGGAGAACGUCCGCGCAGGGGACGGAGCUCUGGCAUGAGAUGGUUUCUGGGGGGCGCGGGCGGCGGGCUUGGCAGAGAUGGUGGUCACACAGAGGGCUUGCAGAGGGAAGACGUUGUCUGGCGGUCGUGCGCGCGGGGCGGGGGCGGGCUGCGAGAUUUGGGGUGCGCAGCGGGGGUGGGGUCUGCUGCGGGGUGCUGCAGAGUUGGCGCGGUCGUCCCUCGGGAGGGAGCGGAGCGGGCCUUACAGAGAUGGGUCAUACGGCAUGGCGGUGGUGCGGGCUGACAGAGAUGGGGUAGGGGGCGGUCGGCCUAGUUUGGGGUGUCGGCAGCGGCCAGUCGUGGUGCGGGGCGCGGCUCGUCGCCCCGCCCAGUGAUGACUGAGCAAGGUUUGAGAGGAGCUGCUUACUCAUUGCAAAAGCCAACUCGCUCUCGCGGUGACGCUCCAAGAGUACGAGAAGCUCCACAAUCCACAGGAGAAGAGAGGGAAUAGAGAUUGGGUGAGAAGAGAAGAGAAUGAAGAUCCCACUAUAGGAGAGAGAGCAGAGAUGGAGGGAGAGAGGCACUGGGAAGAAGAAAGAGAAGGACGACAGAAAAAGAAGCAAAAAAAAUAAGAAAAAAGAAAUAGAGAGAAGAUGUCCGUUUAAGUAAACCAGUUAACUGUGGGUUUUCUUUUAAAGAGCCUCCUCCAAUCGUCAGCCAUCCAUCUAUAGAUGAUGGUGGAUAGCUUUAUAGCACAUUGGCCGCCUUGCUGUGCUUUAAGACACAGCGCCACUCUUCUCUUAUCUAUAUAUAUAUAUAUAUAUAUAUAUAUAUAUAUAUAUAUAUAUAUAUAUAUAUAUAUAUAUAUAGUUUUGCUAGAAUACUAUCGGUAGUAAACGGUUUGAUUUACUAACGAUUUAUUUUCGAUGAUAGAGCUUCCAAAUUGAUGAUCGACACUGUUAAACAUGAUUUAAACUAUUUAAACUAUCGAAAAAUCAAAUUUCACACAUUUUCGAUAUUGUUCUCUUAUCCAUCAAGUAAAUAGAAAAAUGAAUGGCUGAAAAUUAAUAUCUUUCAAAAAGUAAUGAUACAAUUUUUAUAUUUGAGAUCUAGACUCUAGAUCUUAUUUUAAAUAGUUUAAAGACUUUUUUUAACAAAAAUUUAGUUGAUUUAAACUCUUCUAUAACGUUAAACAAGCAAACGCACCAUAUCGGCCAUUAAAAUUAUAGAUUUUGUGGCACUUUGAUCGUUCAGUUAGUGAUGCCAAAAAAUCAUGAAAUAUAAUUUCUAGAUAAUGUUCAACGGUGCCGAUCGUCGAUUUGGAAGCUCUAUCAUNUAAAUCUUUUAUCAUCAUUUUUCAUGAGAUUUUUAUUUUCAGCCGUUCAAUUUUAGACUACUUGUUUGAUAGGUAAAUAAUAUCGAAAAAUUAUAAAAUUUAGUUUCUAAAUACCUUUAAUAGUGUAGAUCAAGUCUAACAGAGCCGAUCAUCGAUUUGGAAGCCGCAUCAUUGAAAACAACUUGGUAGCACGGAGCGUUCCGUGCUACCGAUAGUAUAGUAGCAUAGUUCUAUAUAUAUAUAGAGAGAGAGAGAGAGAGAGAGAGAGAGAGAGAGAGUUAAGCUAGAAUACUCUCAAAAGCACCAAGGGAUUGGUGCUUUUGAUUUUUUAACAAUUGGAUGGAGAGAUGUAGGAUUGAGAUGAUGGUGGUAGGUGGUGGUAGGUGGCAUAGUGUUUGAUCCAAUGGGUAUUAGUAAUUAAGGAGUAGAUCCAAAGGCUAGAAACCUAGAAGCACCAAGAGGUUGGUGCUUUUAAAAGUAUUCUAACUCAAUUCUCUCUCUCUAUAUAUAUAGAGUAAGGCUACUAUGCUUCUGGAAGCACGGAUUUCGAUGUUGCGACUUUCGAAUCGUCGAUCGGCUCCGUUAAACUUGAUCUAGAGUAUUUGAAGUAUUUAGAAAAUAAAUUUUAUGAUUUUUCGAUAUCAUUUGCCUAGUGAUCGAAGGGGCUCAAAAUCAAUAAUUUUAAAGGCCGUGGUGAGCCGUUUGCAAGUUUAACGGUGUAGAAAUAUCCAAAUCACGUGAAAUUUUGAUAGAAAAUUUUUUAUACUAUAUAAAACAAGAUCAAUAUCUUUGAUCUAAAAUUUUAAUGUCAUAUUAUCACGUUUUGUAAGAUUUUUAUUUUCAGCCGUUGAUUUUGAGCCCCUUAGUUCACUAGGCAAAUGAUAUCAAAAAAUUGCAAAAUUUAUUUUCUAGAUACUUCAAAUACUCUAGAUAAGUUUAACGAAUCGAUCGACUGAUGUCGAAGUCGCAACAUGAAACGGCGCUGGACANNNNNNNNNNNNNNNNNNNNNNNNNNNNNNNNNNNNNNNNNNNNNNNNNNNNNNNNNNNNNNNNNNNNNNNNNNNNNNNNNNNNNNNNNNNNNNNNNNNNNNNNNNNNNNNNNNNNNNNNNNNNNNNNNNNNNNNNNNNNNNNNNNNNNNNNNNNNNNNNNNNNNNNNNNNNNNNNNNNNNNNNNNNNNNNNNNNNNNNNNNNNNNNNNNNNNNNNNNNNNNNNNNNNNNNNNNNNNNNNNNNNNNNNNNNNNNNNNNNNNNNNNNNNNNNNNNNNNNNNNNNNNNNNNNNNNNNNNNNNNNNNNNNNNNNNNNNNNNNNNNNNNNNNNNNNNNNNNNNNNNNNNNNNNNNNNNNNNNNNNNNNNNNNNNNNNNNNNNNNNNNNNNNNNNNNNNNNNNNNNNNNNNNNNNNNNNNNNNNNNNNNNNNNNNNNNNNNNNNNNNNNNNNNNNNNNNNNNNNNNNNNNNNNNNNNNNNNNNNNNNNNNNNNNNNNNNNNNNNNNNNNNNNNNNNNNNNNNNNNNNNNNNNNNNNNNNNNNNNNNNNNNNNNNNNNNNNNNNNNNNNNNNNNNNNNNNNNNNNNNNNNNNNNNNNNNNNNNNNNNNNNNNNNNNNNNNNNNNNNNNNNNNNNNNNNNNNNNNNNNNNNNNNNNNNNNNNNNNNNNNNNNNNNNNNNNNNNNNNNNNNNNNNNNNNNNNNNNNNNNNNNNNNNNNNNNNNNNNNNNNNNNNNNNNNNNNNNNNNNNNNNNNNNNNNNNNNNNNNNNNNNNNNNNNNNNNNNNNNNNNNNNNNNNNNNNNNNNNNNNNNNNNNNNNNNNNNNNNNNNNNNNNNNNNNNNNNNNNNNNNNNNNNNNNNNNNNNNNNNNNNNNNNNNNNNNNNNNNNNNNNNNNNNNNNNNNNNNNNNNNNNNNNNNNNNNNNNNNNNNNNNNNNNNNNNNNNNNNNNNNNNNNNNNNNNNNNNNNNNNNNNNNNNNNNNNNNNNNNNNNNNNNNNNNNNNNNNNNNNNNNNNNNNNNNNNNNNNNNNNNNNNNNNNNNNNNNNNNNNNNNNNNNNNNNNNNNNNNNNNNNNNNNNNNNNNNNNNNNNNNNNNNNNNNNNNNNNNNNNNNNNNNNNNNNNNNNNNNNNNNNNNNNNNNNNNNNNNNNNNNNNNNNNNNNNNNNNNNNNNNNNNNNNNNNNNNNNNNNNNNNNNNNNNNNNNNNNNNNNNNNNNNNNNNNNNNNNNNNNNNNNNNNNNNNNNNNNNNNNNNNNNNNNNNNNNNNNNNNNNNNNNNNNNNNNNNNNNNNNNNNNNNNNNNNNNNNNNNNNNNNNNNNNNNNNNNNNNNNNNNNNNNNNNNNNNNNNNNNNNNNNNNNNNNNNNNNNNNNNNNNNNNNNNNNNNNNNNNNNNNNNNNNNNNNNNNNNNNNNNNNNNNNNNNNNNNNNNNNNNNNNNNNNNNNNNNNNNNNNNNNNNNNNNNNNNNNNNNNNNNNNNNNNNNNNNNNNNNNNNNNNNNNNNNNNNNNNNNNNNNNNNNNNNNNNNNNNNNNNNNNNNNNNNNNNNNNNNNNNNNNNNNNNNNNNNNNNNNNNNNNNNNNNNNNNNNNNNNNNNNNNNNNNNNNNNNNNNNNNNNNNNNNNNNNNNNNNNNNNNNNNNNNNNNNNNNNNNNNNNNNNNNNNNNNNNNNNNNNNNNNNNNNNNNNNNNNNNNNNNNNNNNNNNNNNNNNNNNNNNNNNNNNNNNNNNNNNNNNNNNNNNNNNNNNNNNNNNNNNNNNNNNNNNNNNNNNNNNNNNNNNNNNNNNNNNNNNNNNNNUCUCUCUCUCUCUCUCUCUCUCUCUCUCUCUCUCUCUCUCUCUCUCUCUCUCUCUCUAUAUAUAUAUAUAUAUAUAUAUAUAUAUGUAUAUAAAGUUUCCGGCUAUUAUCCUCUUAAGACGAUAAAAAACUUUAUCCUAUCAAGUUAUUUUGGAUGAUCGGAAUUUCAAAUUGAUAAUCAGCACCAUUGAAAUUGAUCUACACUAUUAAAAUAUUUAGAAACCGAAUUUUGUAAUUUUUAAAAAUCAUUAUCAAGUCCAUCGAAGAGUCGAAAAAUGAACGGUCAAAAAUAAAUGAUCUUCUGAAAACAGAGUUUAGACAUUCUCAAUUUACGAUCGGAGUUAUUAAACAUUAUCUAAAUAUUAUAAAAAAUUUUCUAUUAAAUAUUCAACUGGUUUGGAUUACUCUAUAACGUUAAACAAGCAAAGGACUCAUAUAGGUCGUCAAAAACUAUCAAUUUUGCAAUCUUUUGAUCACUAUGUAAAUAAAUUUUAAAAUUUAUAAAAUUUAGUUUCUAAAUAAUUUAAAUACACUAGAUCAACUUCAACGGUUUCGAUCAUCUAUUCGGGAUCUCUAUUAUCAAAAGCAAUUUGAUAGGACGAAGGUCCCUAUCCUCCUAAAAGGACAGCGGCUGAAUUCUAUAUAUAUAUAUAUAUAUAUNAUUCGGGAUCUCUAUUAUCAAAAGCAAUUUGAUAGGACGAAGGUCCCUAUCCUCCUAAAAGGACAGCGGCUGAAUUCUAUAUAUAUAUAUAUAUAUAUAUAUAUAUAUAAGUUGUUAUGCUAUCGGAAGUAUAAAGGAUCUAGUGCUUUCGACUUUUUGACUCUUAGAUCAGCCCUUUAACUAUUUCUAUUCUUUGGAUUAAUACUAUUAUCCUGUGGGGACCACUCAACCCUAGGUAGGGUUGUCAAUGGGUAUGGAUACCCAAAAUUUUAUCCGAACCCGAAUCCGAAUAAAAUAGAUAUAUCCGAUGCUAAAUGGAUAUGGAUUCGGAUAUGGAUGUCAAAAAUAGAAACCCGACGGAUAUGGAUUUAGAUAUGGAUUUUGACGGUACCCGACCCGAACCCGAAUUUAUUUUGUAUUAUAUAAUAUAGGGAAAACUUCAAAAAACCCCCCAGUGGUUUCCAACUUUCUCACUUUAGUACCCUGUGGUUUAAAGUGUAUCAAUUUGCCCCCGUGUGGUUUUGUUUUUAUUUUUUCUAUAGCUUUUUUCUUAAUAUUUCGUUAAAUUGUAUGCAAAAAAACAUCAGAUAUCCAUCUAGAUUUACCGAAUAUUUACUUUAGUACCCUUUAAUUUUAAUUUUGUUACUGAUUUGAGAAAAAAAAAAUAAUAAAAUUGAUAAAAAAAAGAGAAAAACGAAACCACAGGGGGGCAAAUUGAUACACUUUAAACCACAGGGUACUAAAGUGANNNNNNNNNNNNNNNNNNNNNNNNNNNNNNNNNNNNNNNNNNNNNNNNNNNNNNNNNNNNNNNNNNNNNNNNNNNNNNNNNNNNNNNNNNNNNNNNNNNNNNNNNNNNNNNNNNNNNNNNNNNNNNNNNNNNNNNNNNNNNNNNNNNNNNNNNNNNNNNNNNNNNNNNNNNNNNNNNNNNNNNNNNNNNNNNNNNNNNNNNNNNNNNNNNNNNNNNNNNNNNNNNNNNNNNNNNNNNNNNNNNNNNNNNNNNNNNNNNNNNNNNNNNNNNNNNNNNNNNNNNNNNNNNNNNNNNNNNNNNNNNNNNNNNNNNNNNNNNNNNNNNNNNNNNNNNNNNNNNNNNNNNNNNNNNNNNNNNNNNNNNNNNNNNNNNNNNNNNNNNNNNNNNNNNNNNNNNNNNNNNNNNNNNNNNNNNNNNNNNNNNNNNNNNNNNNNNNNNNNNNNNNNNNNNNNNNNNNNNNNNNNNNNNNNNNNNNNNNNNNNNNNNNNNNNNNNNNNNNNNNNNNNNNNNNNNNNNNNNNNNNNNNNNNNNNNNNNNNNNNNNNNNNNNNNNNNNNNNNNNNNNNNNNNNNNNNNNNNNNNNNNNNNNNNNNNNNNNNNNNNNNNNNNNNNNNNNNNNNNNNNNNNNNNNNNNNNNNNNNNNNNNNNNNNNNNNNNNNNNNNNNNNNNNNNNNNNNNNNNNNNNNNNNNNNNNNNNNNNNNNNNNNNNNNNNNNNNNNNNNNNNNNNNNNNNNNNNNNNNNNNNNNNNNNNNNNNNNNNNNNNNNNNNNNNNNNNNNNNNNNNNNNNNNNNNNNNNNNNNNNNNNNNNNNNNNNNNNNNNNNNNNNNNNNNNNNNNNNNNNNNNNNNNNNNNNNNNNNNNNNNNNNNNNNNNNNNNNNNNNNNNNNNNNNNNNNNNNNNNNNNNNNNNNNNNNNNNNNNNNNNNNNNNNNNNNNNNNNNNNNNNNNNNNNNNNNNNNNNNNNNNNNNNNNNNNNNNNNNNNNNNNNNNNNNNNNNNNNNNNNNNNNNNNNNNNNNNNNNNNNNNNNNNNNNNNNNNNNNNNNNNNNNNNNNNNNNNNNNNNNNNNNNNNNNNNNNNNNNNNNNNNNNNNNNNNNNNNNNNNNNNNNNNNNNNNNNNNNNNNNNNNNNNNNNNNNNNNNNNNNNNNNNNNNNNNNNNNNNNNNNNNNNNNNNNNNNNNNNNNNNNNNNNNNNNNNNNNNNNNNNNNNNNNNNNNNNNNNNNNNNNNNNNNNNNNNNNNNNNNNNNNNNNNNNNNNNNNNNNNNNNNNNNNNNNNNNNNNNNNNNNNNNNNNNNNNNNNNNNNNNNNNNNNNNNNNNNNNNNNNNNNNNNNNNNNNNNNNNNNNNNNNNNNNNNNNNNNNNNNNNNNNNNNNNNNNNNNNNNNNNNNNNNNNNNNNNNNNNNNNNNNNNNNNNNNNNNNNNNNNNNNNNNNNNNNNNNNNNNNNNNNNNNNNNNNNNNNNNNNNNNNNNNNNNNNNNNNNNNNNNNNNNNNNNNNNNNNNNNNNNNNNNNNNNNNNNNNNNNNNNNNNNNNNNNNNNNNNNNNNNNNNNNNNNNNNNNNNNNNNNNNNNNNNNNNNNNNNNNNNNNNNNNNNNNNNNNNNNNNNNNNNNNNNNNNNNNNNNNNNNNNNNNNNNNNNNNNNNNNNNNNNNNNNNNNNNNNNNNNNNNNNNNNNNNNNNNNNGUUACCCAGCCUUAGCCCCGCCUAAAAGUUUUUGGGCUUGGGCUUGGGCUUGGGCUGAGGUUUAGGCUCUGGGCUUAGGCUUGGGCUUGGGCUGCCUAAAAUUUUUAAGUAUAGGUUUAGGCUUGGGCUGGUUUUUAGGCUUUGGACUUGGGCUUGGACUUGGGCUUGGGUUUGAGCUUUUAAACUUGGGCUUUGUUAAUAAAGGAAAAAGCUAUAAAGUUUUAUAUAAUAUAAUUUAGAUUUAAAAUUUUAUGUUUAAGUUUAUAUUGUAGUUUAAAUUUAUAUAUAUAUAUAUAUAUAUAUACAUCUCUAACCCUACGGAUACUACUCAACCCUAGGGGGCUACAAUCAUCCCAAUCAUACAAAUCUUGAUCUAAGGGUCAAAAAAUCAAAAAUAUUAAAUAUUUUAUAUGUUUCCGAUAGCAAAAUAGCUCAACACUAUGGGCGUGUUUGGUUCGAAGUCGGAAUCGGAAUCAGAAUCGGAAUCGAAAUAAGCUGAAGUCGGAAUCGGAAUGACUCAUUACUUAAUUCUGUUUGGUUCAUCACCUGAAUCGAAAUCGGAAUAAAUCAUUUUCAUUGUCGGUGUUUGGUUCAGGUAAAUAUAAAAAACGUAAUCAGAUUAAUAUACUAACUUUAUCUUUAUAAUAUAAUAAUUUAAAUUCAAAUUAAAAAAUUAAAUAUUAAAAAUUUACAUCAAAAUUUUGAAAUAAUGUCAAAAUUUUAAAUCUAUUUUUUUAAAAAAAUUAAACUUUAAAGUUGGGUGAAUAAUUCAAAAUAUAAAACUAAAUUUUGAUUUAUNGGAGAGCAAGUCCAACUGGCAUCAGCGACACCAACGCGAAAGCACAAAGCCUUACUCCGGAGUGGCACUCGUAGGCGCUACCCAACCGAGUAUGCAGCAUAUCUCUGUCGAGCUCAAACAGGCUCUGAAAAGCCAAAGUCAAGAAAUCGACUCUAACUGGUCUAACAACCAACAAGUAACGUGCCCUCGGCACAAUCAGACGCCAAAAAGGCGAUACGGGUCCACCGUCAACCUCAACGGCACCCUAUAGUCCGGAACAGCCUGAACGACCCUGGAAAAUCCACUCGGCGAACCAGCACGAGUGUAGAUAUAUUCUAAACUAUCUGGAGUACUCGUCUCGAAGAUACUGCGACAGUACAAUUUAAUAACGGCUCCUAGAGCUAAAUCAGGCAGUUUAAUCAAGUGACAGGUCCAAAUCGCAGGUUUUCUCCUAAUUCAGUUUCCAAGUCCAACAUAUAUAAUCUACUUAAUUUAUUACCACAUGCUCCAAAUUCAGAUUUGCAUUCUAUCAUAUAAUACAUGAAUUCGAGCUAGAAUAAAUUAUCAAAAUCGAGAUCUAUACAUGUUGACGAUUAUGAACUUAGGAGUCAAAACCGAUGUAACCCACCUCGCACGCUAAUCCCUGGCAGCACGGAACCCCCUCGGCUGCGACACCACAUGCUGGAUCGACCAAAAAAGCCCGAGUCUCGAAAUCGAGCUAACUCCAAACUAAAAAUACCAAAAUUCCUCAAUUCAGUCCAAAAUCCAUAGCAGCAGAGAAGAGAAGGAUUUCGAUCAAGCUAACCUUCACCAAAAUUCGCAUGUGAGGGCUUCGUGGAUUCCUCUCGAAGUCCCGAAUCCAACGAACCAAGUCUCGUCGCAAUCCGAUACUCCUACGUCGCCUACGAGCUGAAAUACUAACAGUUGACGGUGGAUUUCAGCAAACAAUAAUUAUCCGAGUUGAAGUAGUAAGUACAUGCCGAAAACCAUGGAAAAGCUGAAAUACCCACCUCGACAACGCCAAGCACCUGUGUGACAGCAAAGACGGCGAAAAUCUACGCUCGCCCGGCCUCCUCGCGCUACCCCGGCGUCUAACACGUGCUCGAACGGCUCCGCGGCGCGACGUCGGCGACGAACUCUCCAACCAAGCUCUCCACUGCAACCGAGUCUAGAGAGAGAGAGGAGAAGAGAACGCAACAAGAACUCUCUCUCUCUCAGCACAAAACUAUAUAGGGAGGGAAUGGGUUGGUGAUACAAACGAGGGAGAGAAAAGACCCAAUUGCCCCCUCACCUACCUUGGUGUACCGGUACACGGGAUCGCGUACCAGUACAGGAAGCCAACCCGAGAGCAGUACGCACUCAGCCAGUAUAGUGUACCGGUACACCUCGCUGGCUGUACCGGUACAGCAAGCAGGAAAAUCUGCUAUUUUGCAGAUUUCUUCGCUGAAGGCUGCUCUCGCGUCCCACGGAGUCCGUUUUGCGUCUAUUUGACGCCAACGCGACUCGGACUUGUCCCGACACUCUCCAGAGCUAUCGACAAGCCUCCACAGUCAAACACCAGGGAUCUCACAAUAUAUAUAUAUAUAUAUAUAUAUAUAUAUAUACAUAUAUAUAUAUAUAUAUAUAUGAAUGUUAUAUUUGAAUUUUGUAUUUAACAUUUAGAUUUAAUAUAAUAUAUUUUGAAAUAUCGAAAAAGGAAAUAAUUGUUUCGGGUUCAAAUUUUCGAAUUUUGGUUCGGGUUCAGGUUCGGGUUCAGGUUUCGGAUUUUGGUCGGGUUCGAUUUUGGAUAUGAAUUUUAAAAUCCGUCCGGGUUCGGGUUGGAUUCGGUCUCGGAUUUGGAGUCGGGUUCGGUUCGGGUUCGGGUUUUUGAAAAUCCCCCGGAUUCCGACCUUGACAUCUCUAACCCUACGGAUACUACUCAACCCUAGGGGGCUACAAUCAUCCCAAUCAUACAAAUCUGAUCUAAGGGUCAAAAAAUCAAAAAUAUUAAAAUAUUUUAUAUGUUUCCGAUAGCAAAAUAGCUCAACACUUGGCGUUUUGGUUCGAAGUCGGAUCGAAUCAGAAAUCGGAAUCGAAAUAAGCUGAAGUCGAACGGAAUGAUCAUUACUUAAUUCUGUUUGGUUCAUCACCUAAAUCGAAAUCGGAAUAAAUCAUUUUCAUUGUCGUGUUUGGUUCAGGUAAAUAUAAAAAACGUAAUCAGAUUAAUAUACUAACUUUAUCUUUAUAAUAUAAUAAUUAAAUUCAAAUUAAAAAAUUAAAUAUUAAAAAUUUACAUCAAAAUUUUGAAAUAAUGUCAAAAUUUUAAAUCUAUUUUUUUAAAAAAAUUAAACUUUAAAGUUGGGUGAAUAAUUCAAAAUAUAAAACUAAAAUUUGAUUUAUUCAAAUUCAAACUUAAAUUUAUAGUUUAAAUUUUAAUUUGAAUCCAUAAAUUUAAUUUAAGUUUUAAAUAAAAUUUGAAUAAAACUUUAUAUAAAUUUAAUUUAAUUUAAAUUCAAAUUCAUAAGUUAGAUUCGAAAUACUUGAUUAAAUUUUAAUUCUUAAUUCUAGUUCAAAUUAAAGUUUAAAAUUAAAAAUUUAAUUUAUAAAUUUAAACUUAUAUUUUAAUUAAAAAAUUAAAAAAAUAAAUUUAAUCCGAAUAAAUAUUAAUUUCGUCCGAAUUCAACUUUUAAUCCGGCUUCCUAGGCCGGAUUGGAAAAAGAGGUGAUUGGGAGAUUUCCAUUCCACUCGGGAAUUCCCAUUCCACUCGGGAAUCGAAAUCGGAAUGGGACUCCCACGUACCAAACACCCACAAACGGAUUCGUCCAUUCUGAUUCCGAUUCCAAGGUGAAAAAAAAGCGAACCAAACAAGCCCUAUACAUAUACACAGUAAGGUAUGUUCGCGGAUACGAUAUCCGAAAUUUUAUCCGAAUCUAAAUCUAAAUAUGGUGUAUUUAUUCGAAGUUAAAUAGAAGCGCUUUCGAAAAUAAAUAUAAAAAAGAAAAUCUGACGGAUUUGUAUUCGGAUAUGGAUUUUAUUCCUAUCUGAUCCGAACUCAAAUUGAUAUCAUAUUAUUUAUAUAUAUAAAUAUUUGAUAUUAUAUUUGAAUUUAUAUUUUAAAAUUUUAAAUUUUAAUAUAAUAUAUUUUGAAAUAUGAUAAAAAAAUAAUUGUUUCGAAUUCGAAUUUUAAAUUUUUUUCGAAUUCAGAUUUUGAAUAUGAAUUUUUAAAAUCUGUCUUGGAUUUGGAUUUCGGAUUCAAAUUUUGAAAAAUCCGUCCUGAAUCUGAACCAUUGACAUCUCUAGCCAUCAACUGAAAAUUUUUUCGCUUGUACCGACUGUCCCUAAAGCAAGUGGCAAAGGGCUUGGUAGUUGGUACUCGAGGUCCCAACUUCGAAUCUUAGUUGAUUCACAUUUUGAGCUAUCUCAAAAAAAAAAAAAAAUCCGCUUAUCUAUUGGGUAAUUUAUGAGUAUUUUUAUCAAAAAUGGUUUUGGAACAUUUCAGAAAGAAAAAUUAUUUUUCAGAAUUUAAUCUCAUAUCUAUUUGCCAUUUUUUUUUAUGUUCAUAAUAAACAGUAAAACUAAUAGUUCUCUUAUUAAUAAAUUUGAUUUACGGUUUAAUCAUACUUUCAUCUUAGUUGGCCAACAAAGUUAAUCUUAUUCUUUGUUUGUUCAACAACAAAACAAAUUAAUCUCUCCCCUACUUUUAUCUUUGUCUCCAACCCGACGGCUUCACCUUUGCUUGGAUAGCGCUGGAUCUUCUUCUCCACUUCACUUCACGAUUUUAUAUAUAUAUAUUUUUUAUAUUUUAAGCAUUUUUUUAAUUUCUUUUUCUACAAUUAUAUAUCAAGACAUAUUGCCUUUUUCGUUGCUCAUUUCAAUUUGUUUCCUCAUCUCUUUUACUGAUCUUCAUGGGAUAUCAACGUGAACAUUUUGGUUCGGAAAAUAAAAAAUAAAAUUUUAGUCUCCCUCUUAAUAAAUUAUUCUAAGAUAAUUCAUUAUCAAGUAAAAACUUCAAAAGUAUUUACUUGAUAAUUAAAAAAGUAAAAAAUUAAAAUUGUUUUUAGCUUUCAUUUUUUAAAAAAUAAAUUAUCAUCUACCACUUGACAGAAUGUAUUGAAAGCUAACCAAUUAUUGCAAUAGAAAGUAAUCUAUCUUUCCGCACAUCAAAUUAUGUAAAACUAGUGUAGUGACCGGCACGUUUGCUAAAGUAAAAAUUUAUAAAGAAUAAAAUAUUAAUUUAGUACAAAAAAAGUAAAUAUAAUUUAUAUUAUAGACAAACACUUUUGAAAAAUAAAACUAUAAUGAAAAAGAAUUUAAUCGUUUCAACAAAACUAUUCAAUCUUAUUCAAGAGAUUGCAUAUCAUGCAAAUGAAUGAUUAAAAUUUUUUUUUAUAACACAAUAAUCAAAUGAAAAAAAAAAAAAGUAGACCGUUCUCUUUCAAAUUAAGGGGGUGGAUACAUUGGAUGUAGCCAUGGGGAUAUAAUAACAAUAAUGAAUAAGUAAUAAUACUAAAUAUCAACUAUAGAUAAUAUACUCUACGAUAGAUAGAUAGCAGCAUAAGAUGUAUACGAUAAUAUAAGAUUUUUCCUAUAACAUCAAUAAUCAAAUGAGAAAAAAAAGUAAACCCUAACUCUUUCCCCAAAUUAGGGGGUGGUACUUGGUGGAUUUACGCUAUGAGCAUUAAUGUUACAAGAUAAGGUAUAGGAACGGUAUAAGAUCAUAGGUAUAGGAUUAGUUUUUUUUUUUUUUUUUUUUUUUUUUUAAGUGCACGGUACCAAACUAUAUCUCAAUGUUACACUUCAAAUUGCAUAGAAAUAAAGAAAAUCUACAACGUAACACUUACAUCAUAUCAUCAAUAACGAGCCAAUCAUAUUUUUCUCUUUGAGAGAAAAAUACAAAAAAAAUAUUUCUAAUAAUUACUAUGGUGGGACAGAUGAAUCCAACGAGAACAAUCUGAAUGGUUGGGGACGCCGUAUCAGCAAUAUAACUGCUGUAUUCUACAUUUUUUUUCAUAAAAAUAAUAUCUAAAAUAUCCUUCAAAACUUCAAAAAUAUCUAAUAUACUUUUGGUUAACUAAAAUGUUAUUAUUUAUUUUUAAAAAUCUCUUCAAAUAUCGCUAAAAUCCUAAGAUUUACUAAUGAAAUUUGAAAUUUAAAAGAAUAUUUUAGAAAUAGAAAGCUAAAUUAAAAAGUUUGAACAGUAGACAGGCAUAUAAGAAAAAAGCAACUGCAAUGUGCUCAAUUGUUCUCUCAUGCAGGUGAAUGGAAGAAGCAACGUAACCAUUCUUUUAAACAACUCCUCAAGUGGGUCUUCUUUAUUCUUCUUUACUCUCACAUUUGAUUAGAUCAGAUCUACUACAUGAAGGUCAACUCUAUCAUUCUCUCACCAACUCCUGCGCUUCUUCUCCUCCUCCUUCCCAGACACAUAGAGGGAGGAAGAAGAAGUAAAACAAAAAAAACAAAACAAAAAUGAGGUUGUUAGAUAAUAAUACUGAAGCUAUUGGCCGCGGCAAUGUCAAGUACCGGAGGAUCGAGGCCGAGGAAGGAGGAGGAGGAGAUGUGGAAGAAGAGGAAGCAUUUGGUUGGAGGUGGAGUGGGAGGAAUGAUAGUAGGAAGUACGUAUAUGCCUGCGCCACAUUCGCUUCGCUCAACUCCGUUCUCCUUGGCUACGGUAAAUCUCGUGUAGUUUCAACUGUAACAGUUUAAUUGUGCGUAAACAGUGGUCAAACAUAAGAGUCAAGGUAAAAAAUAGAGAAUGAAAAGUUAAAACCAUUGUCAAAUUGAAGUACUAAAUGAUGCAGAAACUUUAGCAUUUGAAUUUAUGGAGAAAGUUAACUUUACAAAUUGAAUCGAAAAUUCUGUUAAGUGUAAUAAUUUUUGUAAAUGGUCAGCAGAUUUUUUAAAUAGUCGUAACUUUUCGCACAACUAUUCUUUUUCAACGUGCUAUUCGGGAAAAAAAAUUUAUUCUUGUUAUUUUGAGUCAGGUUAUUUAAUUGGUUUAUGAUUACUUUAGAUUCUUUUCUAUAGAUUUCUGAUAUAAUCUAUAUAACUAUACGACGUUCGAUUAUUAUAAACAGUUUUAAAUUUGAUCAAUAGUAUCUUUUUUCUUUUCGAAGAAUUGUCUACUUCGUAUAUCUCUCUUUUAGUUACUUGUUCUUUUUUGGUUUCGAUGCAGCUUAGGCUUGCAUCACGAAAUUAUCAAAAUGGAAACCAAAUUUUAGAAAAUAGAUUUAUCAUAAUUAAGACCUUAUUUUCAUUAUUUCUUAAUUAAGCUGUGUUAUGCAUGUCUCCAUGCACAACACUCUAACUGCCAGAACCAUUAGGAAUCUAGAGCUUAACCUUUUGAACCAUGAAUUCUCUUUCGCAGAUGUCGGCGUAAUGAGCGGCGCCAUUCUUUUCAUUCAGAAAGAUCUCCGCAUAACCGAACUCCAGGAAGAGCUACUUAUCGGAUGCCUGAGCAUCGUCUCGCUGCUAGGCAGUCUGCUCGGCGGAAGGACCUCAGACACCGUCGGCAGAAAAUGGACCAUUGGUCUUGCCAGUAUUGUAUUUCAGUGUGGAGCUGCUGUCAUGGCCUUUGCCCCUUCUUUCCUCGUGCUCAUGAUCGGCCGACUUCUUGCAGGAGUAGGAAUUGGUUUCGGCGUUAUGAUCGCGCCCGUCUAUAUCGCAGAAAUAUCCCCUUCUGUCUCGCGAGGUUCUCUCACCUCCUUCCCCGAGAUCUUCAUCAAUCUCGGAAUUCUCCUCGGUUACAUAUCGAAUUACGCUUUCUCGGGCCUUUCAGAACAUAUAAAUUGGAGGAUAAUGCUCGGCGUCGGAAUUCUGCCCUCCGUCUUCAUCGGAUUCGCGCUUUUCGUGAUACCAGAGUCCCCGCGGUGGCUGGUAACGAAGAGGCGAGUAAAAGAAGCACGUUCGGUGCUCCGCAGGAUCAGCGAAAGUGAGUUGGAGGCCGAAGAAAGGCUGGUGGAGAUAGAGCAGGCCGCUGCGGCAGCAAGUGCUUCUGCAAAGAAGCAUGAAGAGAAGGCCAUAUGGAGAGAGCUGCUCAGUCCUUCUCCUUCGCUGCUGCGAAUGCUCGUCGCAGGCUGCGGAAUCCAGUGCUUCCAGCAGAUAACCGGUAUCGACGCGACGGUUUACUACAGCCCGACUAUCUUUCGCGACGCAGGGAUCGAAUCUGAGAAUGAGAUUCUUGCUGCGACAGUGGCUGUCGGAUUCACCAAGACUGCGUUCAUCUUGGUCGCGAUCUUUCUAAUAGAUAAGGCUGGAAGAAAGCCUCUUUUGUACGUCGGCACAGUCGGGAUGACUGUCUGCUUGUUUGUACUGGGCAUUGCUCUGACCCAUCAGCAUGGGUCUGGACUGCUUUCGCCGGAUGUCGGGAUCAGGCUCGCAAUCUGGGCGGUCUGCGGCAAUGUAGCAUUCUUUUCGAUCGGAAUAGGCCCGAUUUGUUGGGUGCUGACGUCCGAGAUAUUUCCUUCGAGGCUAAGAGCUCAGGCUUCGGCGCUCGGAGCAGUCGGGAAUAGGCUCAGCAGCGGUUUGGUUGCGAUGUCCUUCUUGUCAGUCUCACGCCAAAUCUCCGUAGCGGGGACUUUCUUUAUUUUUUCUGCGGUCUCGGCUCUCUCGAUUGCGUUCGUACACAAAUUUGUUCCCGAAACCAAAGGGAAGUCUCUGGAGCAGAUUGAGAUGUUAUUCCAAAGCGCGGCAGAGAUGCGGGGAGGCGAAGUGCAGCUCGGAGAUGUCGAGCACCUGGUGCAGGAGGAAUAGGCUGGGAUGUUUUACCUCUCUUCUAGUCUUUCUUUUGAGAAUAAUUCUGCUUCAUUGUUGUAGUCAGAGGAUUACAGUUCACACCAAAUUUACUUUGACAUGUACAUGUACUUCCCGAAUUAUUAACAAAAUUAAGAAUAGUACUACAUGCAGUUAACACUAUGACCAAUUGUGCUCACCCCUUUGUAACAGAUUCAUCACAUAACCUGUUUAAACUAGCUGAACUAUAAACCAUAUAAUAAAUGAAUUCAUACAAAAUCCACCCUCAUCAUUAGGGAUGUAAUAUGGGCCUUACCAGGCCAGCCCGGCCCAUAUAAGCUGGGCCGAUUCAGGCCCAGGAUUGGCCCGGCUUGACCCGGUUAUAAAUCUGGAUCGUGCAGCAAGGCCCGGCCCAGUUUCCGGCUUCGUGCCAGUCGAGUAAUAGGUUUUUUUUUUUUUUUUUUUUUUUUUUUUUUUUUUCUUCCCAGCAGUCUUUUUUUUGGACUUUUUUUAUUAGGAGUUUUUUUUUUCAUUUUUUUUCACUUUUUUUUUUUGGAAAAAGAGACAUCUAGCCUUUAAAUUAUAACUUAUUGACUUUAUAGUUUUUUACUUUACACAAUUAUAACCAUUUUUUUUUUUAUCUCUUUUAAAAAUUUAUAAUUUUUUUAAAAAUAUUAAAGAACCAACAAUAAAUUUAACUUUCUAAUAUUAUCAAAUUUUAAUAUUAAAUAAAACUUAAAGCUUAAAAAUCAAUAAUUUUAGCUUUUUAAUAUUAUAUAGAUUUUCAGUAUAAUUUUUUUAACUUACAAUUCUUUGGUCUAACAACCAACUUUAAUAUAAAAUUAAUAUUAGUUUUUGAUAAUUGUUUUAAUAUUAUUUGAAGAGAACUUGAUAUUCUUAAAAAAGGGGCAAUUAUAAAAAAAAUAUAUAUAAAUUUUAAAUUAAUCAUGUUAUAUAAUUACAUUACAAUGUAAGAGGAAAGAAAAAAAAAAUUAAACAACUAAAAAAUAUAUUUAAAUAAAAUGGCAUGAUUUAUCAAAUGAACUAACAAAUGUUAGAACAAAAAAAAAAAAAUCUAACACUAUUUCCUCCUCACUACAUUUUUACUUUAAGAAAUAUAUAUAUCUAAUAAAGAGAGAAACCAAAUAAAAAAAAAAAUGCAAGUAAUAGGUAGUAGUGAGGAGGUAGGCGAAGUCGCACUUUAGCAUGCCGCGGUGCUGGCGUAUUUUUCGAUAGUUGAUUCUGUUUCAUCUGAAGAUAUAAAUAUGUAUUCUUUUUUAUAUUAUAUUUUUAAUUCUAUAACUCGCCAAUCAACCAAAACUUCGACUGCACCCUCCGUAAGCCGGGUUCUACAAUCACAUAGUUUUUUUUUUUUUCCAUAUGCAUUGUUAGUAAAUUACGUGCUAUGGCAAAAAAUACAGGAUCGAUAUGUAUUUUCAUGUCUUCCUCUUAUUUGAUUCUUCUUCAGUGAAAAAAUUUGAAAAAUCGAUUUGCAAGUAAAACUAAAGUUUUACUACUGCUACUACUGUUGUUUUACAACUAUGAAAAAUACAGUAUAUUACUAUCAGAAGCAGCUGUAUAAAUACUAUACAUUUUAUAUAAAGAAUUAUUUAUUUUUUGAAAAAUAUUUUUCCCACUUGAAUAAUUUGUUGAAUUAAUUUUUUAAAAUUCAUUGUAUUUUGUAAUAACAAUUUCUACUCUAUUUAAUUUAAUUUUAAGAUUUAUUGCAGAGGCCAAAAGAGUUACAAUAGAAAUUUCUUUGCAAUAUUUCUUAUAUUUGGAUUUUAAAAAUAAUUUAAGCUUAAACUGAAAGAAUUUCUAUAUUUGGCAAAAUUACUACUCAUAAAUAAAAUUUAAUUAAGAAAAAUGACAUAAAGUAGGAUAAUACACAUUUGAUAAAAGUUUGCUUAACUCAUAAAUUGGUUGAAAAAAAAGCCAUAAGAAUUUAGCCAAUAUCCUACUCUUUAUUAGUUCUGUAAUUAUAUUAUAUUUUUUUAUUGUAAAAAAUAGAUAAAAUAUUCCUGUACGCAUAACAAUAUUAUAACAAUUUUUACAAAAUAUUAUUGUACUCAAUUAUUUCGCCAAUAUCUAAUUCUUAUUUUUUUAGGGCAAUAACUAUGAAUAAGCAUGAUACAAUGUUUUUGUUUUUUUUAUUUGUGGACUAAUUAUAAUAUAAUGUACAUGUAAGGAAUAAGCCCCUUCAGGCUUAAAAGCUUAUGAUAUUUAAAAGGGUUAAUUUCGUACAGAUCUCUAUAAAUAUAGUGAAUUGCUAAAACAUUUCUACAAAGUUCACCUUUCAUAUGUUGUGCCUACAACAUUUCUGAUGUUUUCAAAUAUGUUCCUACCGUUAGAAUUCAUUAGAAAAAAUUAGUUAACCGUAGAUAAAAUACUUAACCAUAUUUAGUUAAUGAUCGGAAUUGAUAUUUUUACCCCUCUUCAAUUUAUAGCUGGAAUUUUUGAAUAAAUAUAUUUGUGAUGGCAAAAAUAUUAUUUUAUUUAUGAAAUAAAUGGUAUUUUAAAGGUAAUAAAUCAGACGAAUAUAUUUAAAAAUGUUAAAAUUUUGGAUGGAGAUUAUCUUUUUUCUCUCUCCUCUUCCAUUUCCCAGAUCCCUUCUCACUCUCUUUCUCUCCUCCCCAACCCCACACCUAGGGGUGUAAAACGGGCCGGGCGGCACGUGGGCCGCCCGGCCCGGCACGGCUGCGGGCCGGGCCGUGGCCCGGCACGGCCACUGUAGCACCCCCCACCGGCCGGCCGGGCCCGGCAGGCACUUAGGGCCGUGGCUGGGCCUCACAUUUGAGCCCGACGGCCCGGCACGGCACGGCCUGAAACGGCCUGGGCCGUGCCGGGCGGAGGGGAGGCCCGUGGCCCGGCACGGCACGGCCCGCUUUGGCGGUGCCAGCCGGGCCAGCACGCCCGGAACCCAGGCCCAAGGCAACUUUGCUGGCCUGGGGUUGCUCUCCUCGGGUGGAGGGCCAAGCCUCCACCCGAGAGAGUCCUCCAAGGUCUGCGCAAGACCUUGGGAAGAGUGAUUUUGUGUCCAAUGGACCCAAUAGAAAUUAUGGUCCAUUGAACGCAAAACCCUUCUCAAAUUUUUUUUUUUCAAAAAAAGAAUACAAAAAUAUAUUAAAUAAAUUUAAAUAUUUAUUUUUUGUAAUUAUUUUUAUAAAUUUUAAAUUUUUUAAUCAAAAUAUCAGUUUAUAUAAAUAUAAUUUAUUGUUUAUAUUUUUUUAAAUUAUAUGUACAUUUUUUAAAAAAUAAAGAAAGGGACCGGCCCGGAGCACGGCCCGGCCCGGCACGGCCCGUGCCUUCCGGGCCCAGGGGCCGUGCUGGGCCGGAUGGUAGGGAGUUCCGGCCCGGCACGGCCCGGCCCGGAUUUAGCCACGGGCCGGGCCGGGCCACUCUCCAGCCCGGUUUGGCCCGGAAAAUGUGGGCACGGCCCACAUUACACCCCUUGGCCACACCUCUAUCUCUCUCUUUCUCUCUCUGAGACCCCUCCCUAGUAGCACUAGCACCCUCUCUCCUCUCUCCCCACCAACACACACAUGCACGCACACUCACUCUCUCUCUCUCUCUCUCUCUCUCUCUCCACCCACACUCUCUCUCUCUUCAAUAUUUAAUAAUAAUUAAUUUUUAUUAUAAUAUUAAUAAAAAAUUAUUUAUUAAUAAUAAUAAAUAGUAUUAUUAACUAAAUUAUAUAUUUUUUAUUAUUACUACUAUUAUUAUUGCUAGUACUUAAUUUGACUAUAUAUAUAUAUAUAUAUAUGACAUUAUUAAACAUCCGAUAAAAAUACACAUUCAAAAUAUAAUAUGAUUUAUACAUUACAUAAAAAUAAAAAUUAUAUAACUAUACAUUAGAUAUGAUAUAAAGUUGAUUGUAUUUGACAUAUGACUUGACUACACAUUUGAUAUGAUAUAAAAUUUAUAUGAAUAUAUAUUAUAUAAAAAUAAAAGUGAUAUAACUACACAUUAGAUAUGAUAUAAAGUUGACUAUACUUGAUAUAAAAUUUGACUUGACUACACACUGGAUUUAAUUAUAGAACUGAUAUGACUAUAUUUGAUAUAAAGUUGAUUAUUUUGAAAUAACAUUUGACUUGACUACACAUUUGACGUGAAAUAAGAAUAAUACGAUUAUAUAUUACGCAAAAAUAAAAGUGAUAUAACUAUGCAUUAGAUAUGAUAUAAAGUUGAUUAUACUUGAUAUAAAAUUUAACUUGACUACAUAUUAGAUUUAAUUAUAGAACUAACAUGACUAUAUUUGAUAUAAAGUUGGUUAUUUUGAAAUAACAUUUGACUUGACUACACAUUUGAUAUGAAAUAAGAAUAAUACAACUAUAAUAAAAGUGAUAUGACUAUAUAUUAGAUAUGAUAUAAAAUUAAUUAUACUUGAUAUAAAAUUUGACUUGACUAUACACUUAAUUUUAUCAUAGAACUGACGUGACUAUAUUGCAUUAAAGUUGACUACACUUGAUAUAAAAUUCGACUUGACUACACAAUUGACAAGAUUGUAGAACUGAUAUGACUAUACAUUCAUAAAACUUUAGAAAUACUAUGAGUAUAACUUACAAAUUUUUAUUUUAACAAUCAUAAAAAAAAUAUCAAUCAUAAUUCAAAACAAAAUUCAAAAGUUUCAAAUACAUUAGAAAUGAGAGUACUAACUUACUUGUAUUUUGAACUUUUUUUGUAAAUAUAUUAUUUUUUAAGAAUAUUUUUUUAAAAUAUAAAUGAUUUUUGAGGCGGAUCAUGGCGGGGCGGAUUCAGGACGGGUCAAAAUUUCUCCUGUUUCCUGCCCCGAAUCCGUCUUGGAUCGUAAAAUUUAUCCCGUUUUCUGCCCCGAAUCCGUUUAUUUUCUCCCAUUUAUUGCCCCGUCGGGGCGGAUCGGGGCAGGAGCUCCACCAACCCGGAUCCGUCUGCAUCCUAUGUGGGUGGGGAGAGAGAGAGUGUGUGUACGUGCAUGUGUGGGGAGAGAGGAGAGAGGAGAGAGGGUGCUGCUAGGGAGGGGUCUCAGGAAGAGAAAGAGAGAGAUAGAGGUGUGGGGUUGGGGAGGAGAGAGAAAGAGAGUGAGAAGGGAUCUUGGAAAAUCGGAGAGGAGAGAGAAAAUGAUAAUCUCCACCCACUUAACAUAUAUUAAAGGUAUUAAUUUAUCUUUUUUUUUUCUAAUCUAUAAAAAUAAGACUAGAUUAUGAAUAUUUUUUAAAAUGAGGCUAGAUAGAAAAUUUUUAUUUCCAAAGAGACUAGACAAGAAAAUAGAUCCAAAUCCUUGGGGUUGGAGAAAGCCGUUAGCUCCUGCUACUAAGGCUUAGUUUGGUAUUGAAAUCUAUCUGACGCUAUUAGAUAGAAUAUAGUUGAGAAAAAGCAUAUAAGGAUUCUCUAAUGAGAUCGUGGAAAAUAUAUCGUAACCGACUAACGGAAUAUGCGGAACGUAAUAUUACGUACGGAAACAAACAUGGUAUUUUUCUAUCGUCGUUUCUCACCGCACGUAACGUAAUCAUCCUACAAUCCCAAACGAAGCCUAAAUAGGAGAGUGGGAGCCAGGCCUAAAACCAAUGGCUUUUUAAAAAUCAUAGCCCUUAAGCCUAAAGGGGCUUAUUCCUACCUAGGCAGUUUCGAGCUACUGGCCUAUCUCUCGACCGGGCACGGCCUCUACCCGAUUCAGUUCCUGAGGUUAGAACUAGUACGGCCCUACGAGCCGGGCCGGAUAGGCCAGACGCGGAUGCUACAGUAUUCACGCCAGGCAACAGCCCGGCCUGGAGUACUGGACUGCUGGCCCUUUUUUUCGUUCGGUGUUCUUUUUUUCGUUUGGUUCGGGAAUAAGUAAGAGCUGCCUAUUAUAGAAAUAGAUAUAAGUUCAGGUAUAAGUCUCGAAUAAACUAAUUUUACGUUCGAAUGAAAAUUGAGUUGUUUUUUAAAAUAAAAAAAUAGCGUUUGAAUAGAUAGGAUGAAAUAAAAAAAAUAGUGGAUAGUUAUAAAUAGAAAAUAAUGAUAUUGCUCCCUAUAUUAUAUUUGAAUUUAAAAUUUUAAAUAUUAUAUUUAAAUUUUUAAAUUUAAAUAUAUAACUUCUAGAUUUUAAAAAUUCAAAAUUUAGAUUUAAAUUUUUAAAUCUCAAAUUCGAAAAUUCAAAGUUCUAAAUUUUAAAUUUUAAAUUUAAGAUUAAAUCUAAAUUUAAAAAUCUAAAAUAUCAAUUUUUAAAUUUAAAAUAUCAUUCUGUUGCAGAAAAAUUACUAUACCAUAAAAAAUUACAAUAAAACAUAUAUACUAUCCGAAUAUCGUAUGAGUUGACUGUCAUAUAUUUUUUACGAGCCCACUAAAACACGAAAAAGCAUAUUUGCACCCUAACUCGGUUGUCUACCAACACAUUAAAUGAGCCUUAAUACCCCAAAAAAAAAAAAAAUCCUAACUGAUAAGUGAACGAAUAUUUCCUCUUUCUUUUUCUUUUUCUUUUUCUUUUUUUUUUUCCAGGAGCUAUAAUUCUAUAGACUAUUUAGCUAACCCCAUGCGGUGGGAUUAAAGAUUGGUUGAGUUGCUCGCUUUGAUAACAAUCAAAGUCGGUGAAAAAAAUUUAGAAACAAACCAUUCCUUUUGGUUACAAAUGAACUGCAAGCAACUUUGUAUCUUCUUCUAUUGCAAAGUAUUCCUUUCAGUUAUAAAUGAAGUACAUGGUUCUUUAAUGAGGAUCUACUUGGGAAUCUCACUAUAUACGUUACAUAAAAAGAGCAUGAGAAUAUACAUGGGAAUCUAUCUAACUAUAUGCAUUACAUAAAAAGAGCAUGUUUGUAGCACCAAAGUUGAAGGGAAAUGAAAUUAUUUUCAAUUUACUUUGUUGUUUGACUCCUUGUAAAUUAAAUUCGCCCAUAACCCUACUGUCUAAAAGUGUUGUAAUCCACUUCGCUUUAGGUAGUGGCGGCAAAAUCCAUUACUAAAGAGAAAAAGGUAGAAUAAAUUAAUACAUGAACUUUAGUUUUAUUGAGAGUCAUUUUUCACCUAAAAAAUAUUUACAGGCACAUAAACAAGAGGUAAUAAAAGACCCAUUCUUUGCAUUUUUCUUUUCCAGUAACUGAUUCUGGAAGUAGGCAUACAACAAAAGAAGAUCAAAAGAAUAAGCCAUUUGUCUGUGAAGAAACAUAAACAACAACAACCAAUCUGACAAGCCAGUUGAUUGUCACUCUUGUAUAAGAUGUUCGACAUCUCCGAGCUGCAAUUCACCCUUCUGCCACUCUCUUCCGCCUUGAAACAUCAACUCAAUCUGUUCCAAGGUUUUCCCUUUGGUUUCGGGAACACAAACGUAGACGAACACUACCGAUACAACAGACACUGCAGAAAAGAUGAAGAAAACGCCGGCAACGGAUAUAACGCGGGCCACAGAAAGGAACGACAUCGAAACCAAGCCGCUGCUCACUCUCCCUCCAACUUGGCCAAGCGCAGAGGCCUGAGCUCGCAAUCUGAGAGGGAAUAUUUCCGAAGAGAGAACCCAACAUAUUGGCCCCAUGCCGACCGAAAAGAAUGCCACAUUACCGCAUACAGCCAGAAUUGCUAGAUCAAUCCCAAUUUUCGGAGAAACCAAUCCCAAUCCGUGUUUUUGUAAAGUGAGCGCAGUACCUAACAUAAAUAAGCAUAUAGUCAUCCCAACUGUGCUGAUAUACAGUAAGGGCUUUCGCCCAACUCUAUCGAUGAGAAAAAUUGCGACCAAGAUGAACAUAGUCUUCGUGAAACCAACAGCAACUGUUGCCGCGAGAAUCUCUUUAUCAGAUUUAAUCCCUGCAUUGCUGAAUAUUGUAGGGGAAUAAUACACAGUGGCAUCAAUUCCAGUUAUCUGUUGGAAAAUUUGGAUUCCACAUCCAGCGGCCAACAUUCGAGCAACUGCAGGAGAAGGGCUCAAUAGCUCCCUCCACACAGCCUUUUCCUCACUUCCUUUUGCUGCGUGUAAAACCCCAGCAGCUUCUUCAAUCUCAACAAGUCUUUCUUCGACUUCCGCUUCAUUCUCACUAAUCGCUAACAAAACCGACCGGGCUUCUUUGACUCUCUUUUGCAUUACUAGCCACCUUGGCGACUCGGGUAUCACAAAUAGAGCGAAACCAAUAAAUACUGACGGAAGGAUCCCGACGCCUAACAUUAUCCUCCAAUUUAUAUGUUCUGAGAGACCAGAGAAAGCAUAAUUUGAUACGUAGCCGAGAAGGAUACCGAGAUUUAUACAAAUUUCAGGGAGGGAAGUGAGAGUUCCCCGAGAAAUCGCAGGGGAAAUCUCCGCGAUGUAUACAGCAGAGAUCAUUGCGCCGAAACCGAUGCCAAUUCCAGCUAAAAGCCGGCCUAUUAACAGUAUUUGGAAGGAGGGAGCGAAGGUCAUAAUAGCGGCGCCAGCUUGAAAGACGACGGCGCCCAAGCCCAUAGUCCAUUUCCGGCCGAUAGCGUCGGAGGUUCGCCCUCCUGAUAAGCUACCCAAGAGCGAGACGAUGCUCAAGCAACCGACCAGCACUUCCUCUUCGAAUUCUGUUAUGUGGAGAUCCUUCUGAAUGUAGAUUAUAGCUCCACUCAUAACACCCACAUCUAGAAAAAAAAUAAAUAAAGAGCAAAACAAAACCAAUUAAUGGAUCUUCCAAGGGCGAACAGUUAUGAUACUGUAACUAAAUACAUGCCACAUAACAAAAAUUUCUAAAACAAGAGUAUAUGAAGAAAUUAAUCAAACCUACUUAUCUCUAUUGUUCAAACAUAUCCCAAACUAAUAACAAUUAAAAAUAAACUUAGCACCCCUGUUUAUCAAAUCACACAAAAAUCGACUAAGAUUUAAAGCUCCCAUCGGGACUGACCGUGCCCAUCAUGCAAUAUCGAUAACAUCCUCUUGUCUUUAAAAUUAGUGAAUAAGUUUUUUGAGAAAAAUAUUGCACGCUGUCUGCUUCAUUCAUUCAGAUAAUAAAUUUAGCUAUAUACAGUGAGACGACAGGGGGGCCUCAAGAGGAUAAAAAUUUUACAAAAAGUCUAAAAAGAAAGGUAUAAGAAGAGUCAUAAAAAGGUUUAAAAUAAUUGUAGCGUAAGAUCAAGUACUCAAAAUUAGUGAAUAAAUUUGAUAAAGAUAAGUAAUAAGCAAUUAGAAUAUAAUGGUGCCAACAAAACAAAUAUUUCAUAUCAUACUGUAUCGACAUAUGGGUAUUUAGUGACCAAUAUACAUCGGUACGAUACGAUAAGACACAUAAAUUCUUAGCGCAAUUUUGGAUCAUGACACUUAAAAUUUUUAUUUAAACUCAAAAUAACAAUCAAAAUUAAAACUAAAAAACAACUAAAAAGAAAUAGACCUCACCAUAGCCAAGAAGAAUAGAAUUGAGGGAAGCAAAAAGGGCACAAACAUACACAUAUUUCCUGCUAUUUCCUUUCUCCCUCCUCCUCUCACCCAAAUGAUGUAUCCCCUCCUCACCUUCCUCCUCUGAAUCCAUUCUCCUAUACUUCGUACCUUUUUUGCCUCCAAAACCCAUUUUCCCAUCAAUCCCCUUCUCACUAGAUUUGAGAUCCACCAAACCCAUCUAUUCCUCUCACCCUCUCCCUACCAAAGAGAAGGGUUCUUUCUAGGGUUUCGUCGUCGUCGUUCUCCCGUUUCAGAUCUAAAGGAGCGGCGAAAUUGCGCACAUGGGCACCGAUUUUUUUUAUAAUUUCUCGCAUCAAGAGACCAAUGGGGUUUGUGCAUUUGUGAAGAGAACGACGCAGCUUCCUAUGAAACGGGGAGUAGAAAAUUUGGAAUAGAGGAGAGAAUAAAUAUUGAGGAGAUUCACUGGGUCAAUACCAAUACCAAAACCAAAGUACCAAUAUUCCUUUCUUUUUCUAUAGGCCAUUUUGUACACAAGUCCACUUCUUUUAAUUCGCUUCAUUUAGCUACUUUUUUUUUUUACAAAAAAAAUAGAAACUGUAUGAAACAUGUUUGCCUGCAACUUAUUUUGAUCCAACUGUCUAACCUUCAAAAAUUUUUAAUUUUAUCACCCAAUUUUUUAAUUUACUUUACUUUUGAUUUUAAAUUUAAAUAUAUCGUUUAUCUUUACAAAUUAGUUAGUGUACGAUAUAUAAUUUUUUUUAUAACUGUAAAUUUAUUAAAAUAAAAAAUGAGUACAAAUUUUGAAGUCAAAGUACUGUUAACUGAUCAAAUCAAAUAAAUUGAAAUAUUGAAUAGUAAAAUUAAAUUUUUGAAAAGUCAGGUAGUAAUUCAAAAUAGUCUAUAGUUCAGACAAAUUGUAUACAUUUUUUACGUAAAUAAAUGCUCUAAAGUCCGUGUAUUUGGGUGUAAUUCUAAUUUGAAGUUUUACAAAAAAAGUUAAAUUGUAGUGUACAAAUACUGUCUUUGUGAAAGAGUACAUUUCCUUAAUUUGUUUUUAGGCAGGUAUGCAUAUACGCACACAAUAUUCCCCUUCAAGCACAACUUUGAAUUUGAGACUACGCAAGAGAGUGAAAGAUAUCUACUAAUCAGACUAUCAGUUGGUAAUAUAAUUUUGUAUUAUUUGGCCACAAGUUCAUAUUACUAACUUUCCUCGUAAAUUUCCAGAGUCAUAUCGUCGUCUUUUUGUUGAUGUUAGGUAAGUGCUUCAGAAUGAUACUACAAAUAUCUAAACAAAAAAGAAAAUGACACUUCAUCUGUUUCUGCAAUUGUUCAUAAUUGAUCCAUUAGAGUAUUUUAAAAGGAGUGAGUUGAACGGUGGAUUAAAUAUUUAUUAGCAUUGGCCUGGGCAUGCAGUGUAGGAGAAUGGAGAUACAGAGUGGCGAAAGUAGGGAGACAUUCUCAGUAAGAUCUUGCGUAACAUAAAGCAAUUACCAGAGUCAUAGGAGUAAACACAAGGCUAUGAUAUCAUGCCUCUAUGCACCUUCAAAGAAAAUACAGAUGGUUUUUUUUUUUUUUUUUUUUUUUUUUUUUUUUUUUUUUUUUUUUUUGUUCACUAAACGAAACUACCUCGGAACGACUUCGCUGUACAUAAUAGAAGCAGAUAUAGUCGGAGGGCAUAAACUAUUCGACUUUGUAUUGCUAGAGUUCGACAAACCGCAGCCUCUACUGAGAUUUAUCGAGUCUUGGACGACAUGUGGGGGCGUAAGUUCCAUGUCAUGCAGCUUCAUGGGUUUCGACAGCAUCUCCACAACGUCGGGCAUAGAAGGUCUUCGAGCGGCGGCCGCUUGGGUGCAGAAAAGGGCGACCUUGAUGUAUCUUAGCACUUCUUCCUCUGGAUAUCCAUCGAGAUUCGGAUCGACAAGAUCUAUCAAUCUAUCUUCCUCAUAAAUUUGCCAUGCCUGUGAAGCACCAUUCCGAAAUUAGAAUUACUGAAAAGAAUCAACAGAAUCCCAGAAUCAUAGGGAAAAAAUUAAAAAUGUAAAGAAACUACCUGAAUUAUACUUCCGUUUUAAACGGGUAACUAAGCUUCAAAUGUUUUGAUUUCAGUACCUAACAUUUUAUUAUUUUUGAGUUUGCUAACUCUUCGUCAAGGUCUGUUAAAACUAAAAAAUGUUUCCGCAAUAAAAGUUGUAAAUUAUCUGGUCGAGCAUUAAAUUAUUCAAUUUUAGGCAUCAAGAAUAUCUGUGAAAAAAAGUUAUGAAUACCGUUAAGGUCUGAAAUAGAGGUAAUUAAAUCAAAAUUAACCAAAGGGUAGGUACUAAGAUCACAAACUUUAAGAACCAUCAAAACAUAGUUUCCUAAACAAAGGAAGGCUUGUUCUAGUUAGAGAACUAUGAAAGCCAAGUCACUUGAUUCUCUUUUCCUGCUAUUCGUAACAGUUCCUACAAGAGUAUCAGGAAGUGCUGAAGUAACAAUGAUACCAAAUAUGAAUUUGUUUAUCCAAGGAAACUAUGGGGAAAUUAGGGAAACAUGUGAAUGAUAUGUUGGUUAUAAGUGGAUGUGAUAGAGACAGGAUCAUAUCACAGAAUUGGCGCAUCAUAAAGUGAGAAGAGUUUCAUGAAACAUUCAUGACAAUGCGCUUCUUCAGACUGCAUCCUACUAUAUAAGGGGACAUAUUGCUUAUAUAAUAGUUCAAAAUGAUUUGCUUCGUACAAACUAAUUCAAGCAUAUUAGGAGCAAGAAUAAAGCAAAACUUACCCAUUGCACGAGAAAUGUAUCUGUUGAUGAAAAUUGAAAGCUUGAGAUUCUCCUUCCACUAAUUACUUCAAGUAAAAGAACACCAAAGCUAUAAAUAUCAGCCCUUUUAGUCAGUUGUCCAUGCACAGCAUACUCUGGUGCCAAAUAACCACUGUAUAUAAUAAAGUAAACGUUGCAGCAUCAGCGUGCAAACAUUGCUCACAAUGCGCAUAAUUAUAAAAGUAAAAAAAAGGUGACAUAUAUGUGCUAUUAGAGUUUCGUGAGAAAAAAAGGGAUGGGGUUAUGCAUCUACAAUGUGACAUGAACAGAAUUUGCAGCAAGUUGGUGAUUCUAGACACAUCUGUUGUGCAUGAAGAGCUAAUAAAGGGAGUAAUUUGACUCAUUUUUCCCUAAUGCAUUCCUAAAAAUCUAUUGUCUAUUUGCACUGCAAAGUUCUCAUAACAUUGUUAUUUCCUUGAAAAACCACUUUACGAAUUUGACUAUAUUCCAAUUUGUGGAACCACCAGUUGAUAUUCAAAAGCAUAUAUAUACAUAGAUCGCCUAAAGAGAAGGUUUUACUACUGACUGAAUUAAGAACUGACUGAAUUAAAAGUUACUUCCUAACGAUAACAAUGAUUUAGCAGUUUACAAUCAAGAAAACAUUGGAUGUUUUAAGGACCACUUACGUUGUUCCAACAACGCGCGUGCUGAUGUGAGUAGCAUAAGCAGGAAAAAGCUUGGCCAACCCAAAAUCUCCAAUUUUUGGAAUGAAAUUUUUGUCAAGGAGAAUGUUACUGGCUUUAAUGUCUCUAUGCACGAUAUGGGGCUCAAGUUCUUCAUGAAGAUAGGCGAGACCCCUUGCAGUGCCUGCACAAAUCAAAGAUCUUACGCCCCAGUUUAGUUUCACUUUGCCAAUCUUGAAACCUACACCGGGCAACAGAAAUAGAAACAUGUCAAUAGAGAACACCAUUUGCUUGACAGUUUCACAAAAUUAAAAUGAUCUAUUCAAAGAAUUGUCAAGUAUCUACCUUGCAAUGCUUGAUCAAGACUAUUAUUCUCAAGAUAUUCAUAGACUAAUAUCCUAUUACGUCCCUGAAUGCAGCAGCCAAUUAGCUUAACAAGAUUUUCAUGCCUGACAUUGGCUAUGGUCUGAAUCUCGGUUAGAAAUUCCUUCAGCCCUUGCUUUGAUUCUGUAGAGAGCACCUUUGCAGCAAAUGGUGUCCCAUCCUUAAGACUUCCCUGUAUGCAUUUAAAGAAAAGGAUUAUUUCAGUCAAUACUUUUACACUUUACGAUCUAUGACAUUGAAAUUCAAGAAAUAGAUAACUGGAUAGAGUACUAUGAAUGUGCUUUAUGUUUCUUGCUAAUACCGUAAAACAAAAAGUGAUUUAUCAACACAACUAUAACAGACGAGCAUAAGAUUUUUAGGGCAUGUUUUGUUCGUACAUUUUGGAUCCGGAAUGGGAAUCGGUUUGAUCAAAUCCUGCUAAUUUUGUUCGGUUCACAGGAAUCGGUUUGGGACUUCCAUUCCGGAUCGGAAUGGGAAUGGUCCAUUAGCUUACAAAUUGAUUCUGGAAUGAGAAUGGUCCAUUAGCUUAUAAAUUGAUUAUGGUCUCCAAACCCGGAUUGAAGUUUCAAUCCCAAGCCCACACUCACCUCUUCCUCAGGCCCAGCCCAACAUUUCUCCAUCUUAUCCUUCCUUUCUCUCCCUGUACCAAUCUCUUCCCUCUUUUCUCAUCAUUAAAAAAAAUGUGAUAUAUUAUUUUUUAUUAUAAUUUUAUUCAAAAAAUUUAUGCAUUUUUUUGUAAUUUCUUGCAUAAAAAUUUUUAAAUAAAUUCCUUUUUUUUGGCAUAGCUCUAACUUGAGAGUAGUAUUAAUUUUUUUUUAUAUAAAUUUUAAAUACUUUUAUAAAAUUAUAUUUAAAAGUAAAAUUAGUAUUAUGUUAUUCUAUUAUUUUUUUACUUUGUAUCAACCAAACAGUGAAAUAGGAAUAAUUCAUUCCGAUUUCCAAUCCAGAAAUGAACCAAACGUCUUGGGGGAGUGGGGCAAUCCAAUUAUCAUUCCAAUUCAUUCCCAUUCCAUUAUCCAUUCCAAUUCCACUCUUGAACCAAACACGCCUUUACAGAAAAAAGCAUAGAUCCAAUAAAGUAAGCUAGGAGAGAAGUAUGCAUACCUUGUACACAGUACCAAAGCCACCUCGACCUAACAUGUUGCUUUGGUUGAAAUUAUUUGUCGCUUCUUUGAUCUCAUUGUAGGAGAAAGAUUUGACAUUCUUGAUGGAGGACAAGACUGCUCAAAGGGAUAUAUAUCAAAAAAGAAAAUCAUAAAUCACUUUUAAAAUGCUACACUUUUGUGUUAGCAUCAAAUAAACUUGCAUGAAGUUUCAGACCAAGAAAAGACUAGAAAGGAUUCAAAUACUGAAAAAGACGUUUAUAGCGUCAUUCAUUCUGGUAUCUCCAUAUCAAUGAAUUGAAGAAGGCAAAAGAUGAUACGGGAAUUGCUGAUGAUUAGGAAUAUCUAAAUUUACAGCAAACAAGGAAAACAACCGUCAAAACUAAAUAUAUAUGUAACAUACGAAUGGUGUUACAUACACACAUGACGGAACAACAAUUGAAGUUGAUGAAUAGCAAAACCAGAGCUAGGAUUACAUAUUGAGAGCCAUCUUAUGAGCCAUCUUAUGCCUCAUUUCACAUAUUAAUCAACGGUACUCAGAGCAAUGAUUCUUUCGUGCUGAAGUGCUUUCUUUUUUAUUUGGCCUUGUCUUUUUCGAAAGUUUGGAGUGGUUCUUAAUCCAGCUUGAAAUUGUAUCAUAUAGAAUGUCAAUUAGAACCAUAAAUUGCUGUUCCAUCCGAUAGAGUUGUACCACAUUAGCAAAAAUAAUCAUAGCCAUGCAAUUAGUGUUAAAGCCAUGCCCGUUGCCGAGGAAAACUUCAAAAAGCAUGGCAUGUAUAAGCAUCAUAAAAAUUUCUUACUGUUUAAGUGUUCGUCAGAAUUAGAAUGAGCUUUUCUCACGCCCAUAAAACCAUCACAGCAGAACCAAUUCAUAUCCAAACAAAUAAAGGACCUAUAAUAUGCUCAUAGCUCGUUCGAAUCAAAGAAAUGUAGAAGACCUGCACAGAUUAAAAUCGUAUGUCAUUUCUUUUGCUUUCAAUAGUUAAAGAAAUAUUCCGAAAGGGAAGAACUUUGUCACAGAUAAGAAAGAUCGAUGCAGAUAUAACAAAUACUGAUAUAUAUUGCAGAAAACAACAAACACGAAUUAUUUGCCAACAAUGCAAAUGCCGUGAAUUAUUCCCAACAUUGCGAUUUCAGAUAGCAUGUAAAUAGUGCUGUAAUUGUUGCUGUCUUUCCUUCCUAGCAAGGGAGGCAAUUCCAAGUACCAAUAACAGGAAUGCCUGCUUGAGACUCUGGAAGAGAUUGAGAAAAGAAUUUCCCUUUUUCACUAACAAUUAUUUACAUUCAAAUACUAAUCUAUAUUUAAGUUUAGAAUAAAUUAUAAUUUUGAAUUUAAAUUUGAAUCAUGGAUUCAAAAUUCAAUUUUUAAUUUCUUAAGUCAAAUUUAAAUUCUAAUAUAAGUUUGAUAUUUGAAUUUAGUUCUUAAUUUAAAUUUUGAGUUUGAACUUGAAUUUGGAUUAUAAAAUCAAAUUUUAAGUUCAGAUUGUGAGUUUAAAUUUGGAUUCCAAUUGUGAGUUUAAAUUUCUUUAAUUUCAAUUUUCACAUGAUUUCGAUUUUGGUUCCUCUUAUGAGCCAAACAAGUUAGGAGUUUUCAUCAAUCCAUUUUUCAUUCCAGUCCCUUCUUCUUCCUAUUUUGAUUUCGAAUCCUAUUUUAAACCAAACGUGCCCUAAAGUCUAAAGAUGUGGAUUUAAAGUAGAUGUAAGGAAAUUAAACUUUUUUGUUGCUAAAUGAAACAAUCGAUUUUACUGAAAGCUUAUUGUUAAACAGAAAAAUAUUAAAAUAUCAUUCUCAAAUAGAUUAAGCAUUUUUUAAAAUUAAAAAAAAAAUGAUUGUUUCACAUUCUAUAACUUGGUAGCAAAGCAGGAGCAUGAGAUCCCGAGUUCAAAUCCCGUUAGAUUAGCGUCUUAUGAGGGGAUCACAUUUUUAUUAACUAGAUUGAGUUCCAGUGAUCUGGUAGGAUAUAUAUUACACAAUUAGGACACCAGAAAACUGCAGGGGGAUAAAAUUCACUACGAGAAAUGAUCAAACAAUAUACACAAAAAACAGCAAAAUGAGCAAAUGAUCGACUCUGCAAGAAUCUACACUACUUGAUUUGCUCCCAGAUAAUUUUCAUUCCUUUUUUUUUAAAAAAAAAAUGAAGGAAUUAAAAAAGCAAGGGUUUGGAAACAAGUAGAGAGAGAUCAUACCGUGAGAUUCUAUGUCCCUGUUGUUCGAUUCAUGCAUAAAUUAACAUUCAUAUUCACCAGAAUAUGAAGCCAAUGAAAUGAGCACUCCACCCCUUUUAUAGAUUUCUAUUUUUUUGGUCUUUUUUGGUUUCCGCCUUUUUUUAUUUGGUCGUAGAAGUGAAAGAAGGUAGAAGAAGAAGAGGAGAAUAGAAGUGGAGUUAAUGCUCUACCAAAGCAUGGAAUUCCGAAUACGACGAUUGCCUACAGGAUAGUUUGCACCGGUAUGCAUAAGAUGAUGCUUACGUGGCGUGUUUUGAUUGGUUGUAGUGUUUUGCGUGAGUAAUGCUCCAUCAAUAGCCCUAUCAGCACAUCUCAAAUUACACUCGAUUCAUAUAAGAACUAUUAUGUUCUUACUCAUCUCGCAUGUACUUUUUUUAAUUAUUUUUUACUAAAAAUUAUUUGAAUUUUUGUGGAUUUAGGAUUGGGAUAUAAGAUUUAUAUUUCUUUUUGGAUGUACAACUAGAAUUUUUUUAAAAAUUUGAAAAUUUUUUUUAUAUUAUACUUUUUUUGUAGUUUUUUCUUUAUUUGGCUUCACAAAAUUAACUUUUUUUAAAAAAAAAUUUCAGAUUUUAUAGAAAACUAUUAUUUUCAUUUUUUCCAAUAAUAUAUUUGUCAGAAAACGAAAAUACUAAUUUUUCAUAAAAUCUAAAAUAAAAAAAAAUAAAUUUUCUUGAAAGCAAAUCAACAGAAAAAUAAAAUAAAUACAAUUUUUUUUCAAAAUUUUUUUUUUUCAUAUUUUUUUAUUAAGAAACUAAAGAGCCCGUUAUGUGAGAAUUAAAAAUGGCUACAAAGGUUGCAGCGCUUUGGUACGACGGGGUAGUGUACUCAGUUGAGAGAGACAUGUGCAACAGUGAAGGGAAGAUAGCCGCCGGGGUGGUCCCUACAGCCGGUCUGGCCUGUGGGCUGUCUGGUCAAUUGGGAGAGACUACCGUUGCGUUUCUCCGGAUUGCUGUACAAUGCAUUUAUACUGCUCAAAAUGUUUUUUUUUUUUUUUUUUUUUAAGAGAUAGAUAGCACGCUACCCGUUUCGUUUAUUUUAUUUGGAAAUAAACUUAGCUGGAAAUGUGAAUCAACUAGGAUUCGAACUUGGGUCUCGGGUACCAACCACCAAACCCUUUGCCACUUGCUCUAGGGACAGUCGGUUAUACUGCUAAAAAUGUUAAAAGAGAAAAAUAUUAUCAUCUAGUUUUUAGUUCGAGAGCAUUGUAAACUAAACAAUUUUAAAAAAUAUAUGGAUAGAAUAACUACUUAUAUAUCCCUCAAAAUUUUUAAAAUAUUUUAUCUAUCUUUAGUUUUUUGGGCUAAAUUACAAAAAAAAAAUUUCUGUCAAUAUCUAUUAUUUUACUUUCUAUUUUGUCAUUCAAAAGCCUACACUUUACCAUUUUAAAAAAUAAAAAAUAUUCACUUCGGCCCUUGCCGUUAGUGUUUCGUUAGGAUUUCAUUUAUAUCCUAUUUCUUUACCUAAAAUAUCACUGAAAUCCUCAUCUACCUCCUCCUUCCUCACCAAUAUUCUCAGCCGCACCGCCUCGCCCUCCUCUGUCGCCUUGCCCUUGCCCUCACUCUCGCCUUCGCACAUUCCUUUGUCCAUGCCAAGAUACACGCCCUCGCCCACCUCCGCCACCUCACCCUAAUCCUCGCCCACCUCUCUGCCUAUACCCACCACGAUCUCCUUCCUACAGUCGCCGAAAUAAAAGGGCCGUGAGGGUGCUGGAGGAGCAGGGGAGCAAGUAGAGGAAACGGAGUCGGAGCUAGGGUCAAGGGAGGCGAAGGCGAGGGUGCAGCAUGAGCAGGAUUGGAAAUUAAUGAGAGCAAUUUGGUCAUUUUGUUACAACGUACCCUUUUGUAAAUAUUUUUUAUUUUUUAACGAGGCAAAAUGUAGAUUUUUGAAUGACAGAAAAAAAUUAAGAAAACGGGUAUUGACAGGAAAGUUUUCUAAAUUUAGUCUUUUUUUAUUUCAAAUAUACCGUACAUAUAUUUCUUUGAUUAAAAAUAUCCUUGCUGUUAGUUUCCGUUAAAUCAUUUUGGAUUAAUCUUAUUAAGUUAAAUUUCUACCAUAGUUAAAAAAUUAUAAAAAUACUUUUUUAUGCCCCUAAUUUAAGAGCAAAUAAGAAAAGUUAGUGACAGUAGAAGAGUAUAUUUGAAAAGACAAAAAGUCAAAAUACUUUUUUGGCCCCUAACUUAAGAAUAAAUGAGAAAAGUUGAUGAUAGUAAAAAAUAUAUUUGAAAAGACAAAAUAGUAAUUUCACAGAGAAACGACAGUUCCUGAUCGUUUACUAACAGAAUUAACUCUAAUGAUAUAUUUGAAAGACUUUAAAACCAUUAAAAAAAUAUUUUUAGUAUUAAUCUUAAAAAAAAAAAAGAAAGUUGAAAACUUUUCAGAAAUAUGUAAGUAAUUGCCCCUGUAAAAUAAGUGCAUGAAAAAACAAUAAUGUUACCGGCCGUUUCUAAUACACAUAAGGAAGGAUUUGAUGUUAUACAUUGCUACAUAACUUUCUUUCAAAUUUAUAAUUAUGUUAAAUGAGGUCUAAGGUUUUUAAUUUCUAUGUAGUUAAAAAUAUUAGUUUUCUAUUAUGGAAAAAAAAUACUGUAUUUGUAUCUAAAUGUUUAGACUCAAAUUAAAAUUCUAACAUGAAUAUAUUAUGGAGCUUAUCCCCUUUCAGUUUAAACUAUUAAAUUAGGCCUAAUAAAUAUGCUACAUAUGGUUAAUUAAUUUGUAUACAAUUGUAAUAUGGUAAAUUAAUGACCUAAUAAUAAAUAAUGUGAUUACCAGCGAAAUAAUGUUUAGCAAAAGAAAUUAAUAAAUAUGCUUUCACUUAACAUGAAGCCUUUAAUUAGAUAUUGCCGUUCCUAUCGAAAAUAAAUAUUAGAAAAAAGACUUUCUAGAAAUUAAACAGUUUCUUCUAAAAAUAUUGAAGAGUCCCCAGAAAAAAAAAAUUAUUUAUGGUUAUCCAUAUGACAUCUUAUAGUAGCCAAUAAAAACUCUUCGAGUUGUACAUAUUAGUAUGUUUACGGUGUUUGCUUUUAUAAAUAUUUGUUUCAAUGUUGGAAUAAAAGUAUUCGACGAUAAUUUAUUUAGUAUGAAAAUUUUUUUGUACUGUUAAGAAAUAAGAACUUUAUGCUUACUUCUUAAAAAAUCUUAACAUUUCUGAAUUAGUAGAAUAAUAUAUUUUACUAAUGAUGUGAUUUAUCACACUCUUCAUGUGCUAGAUAAUAUAUAUUUUCUAAAUAAAAAAUAUAUAUAUUGAAUAAAAAAUUAAUAUGUUUAAACAGAGCCUAUAAAAUUAUAGCAUUCUGGAUAACCAUGAUCCAUGAGCAGUAGUUCAAGCCAAAAACGCGACAAGUUGAAGUGCAUGCGGCCAACCUCCCACUGAGGGAAGCUCCCAGCAUUUAUAACGCCGUAGCGCCGUAGAGUUUGGCCCUCCUUGUAUCAUUUUUUUUAGCCUUUUUCAGCAAUUUUGACUGAGAGGUUUUUUUUUUAGAGAUAGGUAGCACGCUAUCCGUUUCGUUUAUUUUAUUUAGAAAUAAAUUUAGUUGAAAAUGUGAAUUAAUUAGAUUUUGAACUUGAGUCUCGGGUACCAACCGUCAAACCCUUUGCCACUUACUCUAGGAACGGUCGGUAAUUUUGACUGGAAGGUUGAUUCAAUAUUUGUAAUAUUUCAAUAAUUUUUGCUAACAUCUGAUUUUGCGAGUGCUUUCUUAGCGGGCAUCUGUAUGACUCUGUAUCAGUUUGCUAAAUUUUCGAUAUUAUAAUACAACACCUUCUCUAACGAGUCUCCGGCGGUGCGUCUAUUCCUGUUACUUUCUCUUGUCUUAUGUAAAGGAUCUAUACUCCUCCCCUUUUCCUUUUUUCCUUUCUUUGUGUUUUUCUUUUUCUACUCCUUUUCUGGAGACCCGGUUGUUUCAGUAUGUAGCCAAAUUCAUUAUCUAAUUGAAUGAAACGGUAGUAUGCUAUAAAUUUCUCAAAAAAAAGUAUUUCAAUAGUUUUGCAUAUUAUAUAUUUAAAUAAUAA
rnacentral:lncRNA from 1 species